rnacentral:lncRNA from 1 species
UGCGGGAGCCUCGGACACUGUCGGCAACCUAGGCCCUUGGUCGUGCGGAAGCCUCGAGCACCAUCGGCACCUUGGUGCUUGGAUGUGCAGGAGCCUCGAGCACCAUCGGCACCUUGGUGCAUGGAUGAGCGGGAGCCUUGAGCACCAAAGCUAAAGUUGGGCCCCUUUUGGUGCGGGAGCGUCAGGUAAAAAAAGGGUCCCCAUUUCAGACACAUGAAUGUCACCUGGUAGCACCUGGUAGUAGCACCUGGUAGCAGCGUUUGUUCUUUUUUCUCAAAGUUUCUGGCGAUUCUGUUUCUUGCUCUCGUGUUCAUGUGUGUCUGCCUUGGUUUUCAAUGGCAGUAGCGGUGGAUUGAGGGUUUUUGGGUGUUGUGUAGCGGUGCUUUUUGGUAAUUUCUGUUCCUCUUCGCUGGCGAUUGUGAUACGUGGUCUGUUGAGGAGGGUUUUCGUCAAUGUCCAGUUGAUAAAGAGAUGGUUCUUGAUAGGCACGAUUGAUGACCUGGCUGAUUCUUUGAAUGUGCUGUACGAAGUUCUAACUUGAUGCGACAGGUUCUGUGCUUGGCUUUGGUCGGAUUGGACGUUUUCUGGCAGGCUUUUGAGUAGUUUUUUGGUGAUUUCUAUUUGCCUUCUUUUGAUUCUUGAGUUUUUUGUGGUGCUCGCAUGCAAAACAAGAUUUUGGCUACGUGGGUUUUGCAUGGUCAUUCGGGUGUAUGCGAUAAAAAUUUUUGCGGUGGGUCCGCGGUGGUCAGAAAAGUUAUCCCUAUUGACUUUUCUACGUUCCAUUAUCGUUGUUCUUGCAUGUUUUAAGGGUUUUUUAAUUAUUGCGUUUUUGCAUGUCAUUUUUGAACAUUUGGUUUUGAACGUUCUUGACCCUGUUUAGCUGACUGCUUAAUCGUCGUAGUCGGUAGGGUUUAGUGCUUCUUUGGUUUUGUUUCGUCGUGCUAGCUUUUUAGGUUUCGUCGGGUUUUGUUCUCCGGGGACUUUGGUUGGUCUUGUUUGGUAGCGUUUUUCAUGUUCUUGAAAUCUGGCGAGGGGUUUUGGUUAACGGUCGCUGUUCGGUGUUUGUCGGGGUGUUUUUUCUCGUUUGUUGUGAUUUGUCACUGGGUGCAGUUUUCUUCCUUUUCUUGCUGUUCUUGUUUUUGCGCAGGUUCUGGGUUGUUUUGUGGCGUCCUCUGUGGUGGCGAGGAUCGGGCUAUUCCCUCAAAUCUAGUUGCGAUCUUUAUGACGUCUCAAUGAAAUUCUUGAGUUGGAAUUUCCGUGGUCUGGGGAACUCUGCUAAAAUAAGGGAGUUAAAGCAACUUCUCGCUGUCAACAACCCCAAUAUUAUUUUUCUUAGCGAAACCAAAAUGUCUGCCACUGAUUUUCGUAGGGUUCAGAAUAACUGUAGGCUGCAAAAUGGUUUAACUAUUAAUUCAGAGGGUCGGAGUGGUGGGUUUGCGUUGAUGUGGAGGGACGGGAUGAAUGUUUCUAUACAAAACUACUCCAAACAUCAUAUAGACUCCAUGGUCAGACUGGAGAACAAUAAAAUCAUUAGGGUUACUGGAUUCUAUGGGCAUGCUAAUCCGAAUCAUAGAAGAAGCUCUUGGGAUAUUUUGCGGAGGGUCGGGGAAUCGGUUAAGGAGGAGUAGGUGAUUGGGGGAGACUUUAAUGCUAUACUGAAUGAUGAUGAGAAAGAAGGGGGUUACAGGGGAGUGAGGGCCUAGAUGAAUGAGUUCAAAGCAGUCAUAGAUGAGAUGGAUUUAGUGGAUAUUAAGCCAGACAGUGGUUGGUUUACCUGGGUAAACAAUAGAGAUGAUGGGAGGUUGAUAAAGGAAAGACUUGAUAGAUUCCUCACCUCGGUGGCAGUGGUUGAAAAUUUCCCUUUUAUAGCUACUAAAGUUCUAAGACAAACUCAGUCCGAUCAUGACGCGAUUAUUUUAGAUUUGUGGGGUCGAAAAUCGAAAGCGUUCCCGAAGGAUAAGAGAUUGUGCUUCAAGUUUGAUGUAUGUUGGGUCGGGAAUAAGGAAGCUAAAAAUGUUAUUGAAAGAGGUUGGAACAGUGAGGGUACAGACUACGGGGAAAAAAUGGAUAGGGUUCGAUCGGCGCUCAGUCCAUGGCAAUGUAAAAAAUUUGGAAAAUGAAGAACGAAAUACGGAAAUUGGAAAAAUAGAUCGAGGUGGUCAUUGAUUCUGCAAGCAAAGCGGAUAGUGGGAAAACUCUCAAGGAAACUCGCAGAAGGCUCGACUUUCUAUACGCUAAGGAAGAAAGCUACUGGGCCCAAAGGUCUAGGUCAAGAUGGCUGAGGGAGGGAGAUAGAAAUACCAAGUUUUUCCAUGCUAAAGCAACUGGUCGUUUAAAGAAGAAUAACAUUGAGAGGCUCAAAGAUGCGGAAGGAAAUUGGGUGACAAAUAGUAAAGAAAUAUGUAAGGUGGCCAAAGAUUACUUUGUGAGUUUGUUCCGGUCAAACAGUCAAAAUGCUAACAUCCAAGAGAUAGGGCAUAUAAAGGAGUGCGUUACGAGGGAAACAAAUGAAAGGCUCAAUAUGAUCUAUACAGAGGAAGAGAUUACUCAGGCAAUCAAGCAGAUGGACCCUAAUAAAGCCCCUGGCAUCGAUGGUCUAUCGGGCAAUUUCUUCAAACACCAUUGGGAGAUAGUGGGAAAGGACACUAUCAGAUACUGCUUGGAUAUUUUAAACGGGAAUAAGGAUAUCUCUUGCCUCAACGAUACUAUGAUCAUUUUAAUUCCUAAAACUAGAGAUCCUUGUGAGCUUACUAACUUUCGACCUAUUAGUUUGUGUAGGUUUGUGUACAAAAUCAUCUCUAAGGUGUAUGCAAAUCGGUUAAAAGCUGUCCUACCAAGUUGCAUUAGCCAAAAUCAAAGUGCAUUUGUGCCGAGGAGGAUGAUACACGACAAUAUCUUAAUUGCGCAUGAGCUUCUCCAUUACUUUAAAAGCUCUAAAAAUGGUCCUAAUAAAGGGCUCGUGGUCAAGCUCGACAUGAGCAAAGCUUAUGACCGCGUAGAGUGGAAAUUCUUGGAAAUAAUUAUGAAGAAAAUGGGAUUCGAUGGGAAGUGGAUUGCCAAAAUAAUGGAAUGCGUUUGUUCGGUUAAAUGUAACAAUAUCUUAUCGGAAACUUUCAUCCCUAAGAGGGGGCUCCGACAAGGGGACCCUCUCUCUCCUUAUUUGUUCUUAUUUUGCAUGGAAGCUCUGUCGAGAAUGCUUACCCAUGCUCAGGAGAAAAACACUUUAAGAGGCACAAGGGCCAGCAGGAACGGCCCAAGAAUAAAUCACUUGUUUUUUGCUGACCAUGCACUGUUGUUUGUGAGAAACAAGAAGAGUGAUGUGGAGAGCCUUGUUAACAUGCUUAAUAAUUUUUCUAAUAUUUCAGGACAAGAGAUUAAUUUUGAUAAGUCAAUGGUCCUAUUCAGACCUAACACCUCACGUGACCAGAGAAUAGUCCUUGGUGGUAUCCUAGGCAUGUCGGUGGUGGAAAGCUUAAACAACUAUCUAGGCCUCCCUAUCCCGAUUGGUAAGAAAAAACUAUUUCUUUCCAAGAGAUUACUAAUAGACUGUCUUGCAGGAUUAACAGCUGGACAAAGAGAUUGCUAUCGUCUGGGGGAAAAGAAGUCUUCAUUAAAGUGGUUCUCCAAUCCAUUCCUACGUACGCUCUGUUAAUUUUCUUGGCUCCCAAAAGCAUCAUCGAGGAUAUUCAGGCUAAGUUCAGCAGAACAUGGUGGACGGGAAAAGAUAGAGGGAGAUUCUGGACAAUGACCCCAUGGAAAACGCUGUAUAAGCCGAAGGCUAUGGGAGGUCUUGGAAUUAGAAACGUGCGACUCUUUAACCUGGCUCUUUUAGGGCGUCAAGUGUGGAGACUAAUAAACAAUACUAAUACUCUCUGCUUCAAGGUUUUGUCUUCAAAAUACUUUCCCAACGGUAACAUCUUUAAUGCAAAAAAGGUGGACAAAGCGUCAUUCACUUGGACAAGUAUUGCGACAGCGGCGAAAACGCUCAAAGAUGGCUUUGGAUGGCAGGUUGGAAAUGGCGAGAGGAUAAAUAUUUGGGAUGAUAAUUGGGGAAUGGAAGGGCUCAACGGGGACGUUAUUUUAAGCAACACUCUUAAAAGAGAUGAGAAGAGUGUGAAAAACCUUUGGCAUAUGGAUCGGAGGUGUUGGGAGGUUAAUAAAGUUAGGCAAGUAUAUGGAGAAGACUGGGGGGACAAGAUUUGCAAUAUUCCCAUUGGAAGGGAAGGCCAAGAAGAUAGAAUGAUAUGGUAUCAUAACCCUCACGGGUGUUAUACCUCAAAAUCCGCAUAUUCAUGGCUAUUGCUGAAAGAUAUGGGAUACGGACCUCACAGGUUCCUUUGGAAAGCGUUAUAGAAGCUCAAUACUCUACCGAAGAUCUGGGUUUUUGCAUGGAGGGUGGGGCAUGAAAUACUCCCCACGAAUUCUAAGAUCGCCUCUAUUAGACAGCGUUUUGAAAAGGGGUGUCCUCGAUGCGGAGUAAAGAUCGAAAUCGUGUUGCAUGCUUUAAAAGACUGCCCAACAUCAAGAGCAGUUCUAUCGAUCGGGGGGUGGUCCAGGAGCUUUAUUUCGAAGAAUUAUGAUCACUGCGCAGAUUGGUUGGAAGACUUAAUGCGGGUCCUUGACAAGAGAGCGAUGGUCGACUUGUUGACAACCCUUUGGAACUGCUGGAAUAACAGGAAUAAUUUUAUUUUCAGGGGUAAAGAAGAUGAGGCCAAGCAAAUAUGGGAAAGAGCAAGCAACUUGACCAAGGAGUUUCGAAUAUGUAAUAUGACGAACGAGCCAUUACUGUCACAGAACGCAGCGGAGAAAAAGUGGAAAAAACCUCCAAUGGGCUUCAUUAAAAUAAACUUCGAUGCUACAGUAGGCGAAGACAAAAUCGGUUUUGGAACAAUCAUAAGGGAUGAAGAGGGAUUUGUCUUGGGAGGUGGUGGGGGUUUUAAAAAGGGUAGGGUGUCGGUAGAAGAGGCUGAGUGCAUGGCAUUUGAAGAAAGCAUCAACGUGACGCGUAAUUUGAAUUUUAAAGAACAUGUUCUCUUUAAAACAGAUCACGUGGGGCUGGUCAAUAAAUUCAAUAAGUCAGCCCAUGACGUCACAACGAUAGGCGAGCGGAUAAAGGAAUGUACAGCAGCUUUUAGCUUUUUUAAAUCGACCAAUUUAAUUUGGACCGAACGGUCAUGUAAUACUGUAGCUCAUUUACUUUGUAAAAAAAUGUAUAGCGAGGGAAAAAAAUAUUUGUUCGAUAUGGAUUAUCCUCUGGAAAUCCACAAUGCUGUAAUUCGUGAUGUUUCGUAAUAAAUUGUGUUGACCCUUGUGGUCGUUUUUGUUUCAAAAAAAAAAGAAUGUCACCUAGUAGCGCAUUGACCAAGUUUUUUUAGCUCUUUAGGAGGGAGGUGAUAUUGAGCGAGCAGGGGUUGUCCAGGGCACGGCCCACGCCUACCGUAUGCCCAGACGUCAGUGCCCCUCUACCGCCGGUUAGGUUCUCGGCGGUGCUCCGGCGAUUCGUCCCGGCGGUGCUCUGGUAAUCCGUCCCGUCGGUGCUCUGGCGAACCGUUCCGAUAGCAUAGGCCCUUGGUCGUGUGGGAGCCUCGGGCACCUUCUGCACCUUGGUGCUAGGAUGUGCAGGAGCCCCGGACACCAUUGGCAAACUAAGCCCUUGGUCAUGCAAGAGCCUCGGGCGCCAUCGGCACCUCGGUGCUUCGAUGUGCGGGAGCCUCGGGCACUAUCGCCAACCUAGGCCCUCGGUCGUGCGAGAGCCUCGGACACUGUCGGCAACCUAGGCCCUUGGUCGUGCAGGAGCCUCGAGCACCAUCGGCACCUUGGUGCUUGGAUGUGCGAGAACCUCGGGCACCAUCGGCAACCUAGGCCCUCGGUCGUGCGAGAGGCUCGGGCACCAUCGGCAAACUAAGCCCUUGGUCGUGCGAGAGCCUCAGGCACCAUCGGUAAAAUAUGCCCUUGGUCGUGCGGGAGCCUCGGCCACCAUCAGCCCCUAGGUGCUGGGAUGUGCGGGAGCCUCGAACACCAUCGGCAAACUAAGCCCUUGGUCAUGUAGGAGCCUCGGGCGCCAUCGGCACCUCGAUGCUUCGAUGUGUGGGAGCCUCGGGCACCAUCGCCAACCUAGGCCCUUGGUCGUGCGGGAGCCUCGGGCACCAUCGGUACCUCGGUGCUAUGAUGUACGAGAGCCUCGGACACUGUCGGCAACCUAGGCCCUUGGUCGUGCGGGAGCCUCGAGCACCAUCGACACCUUGGUGCUUGGAUGUGCGAGAACCUCGGGCACCAUCGGCAACCUAGGCCCUUGGUCGUACGAGAGGCUCGGGCACCAUCAGCAAACUAAGCGCUUGGUCGUGCGGGAGCCUCGGGCACCAUCGGCAAAAUAUGCCCUUGGUCGUGGGGGAGCCUCGGCCACCAUCGGCCCCUAGGUGCUGGGAUGAGCGGGAGCCUCGGACACCAUCGGCAAACUAGGCCCUUGGUCGUGCGGGAGCCUCGAGCACCAUCGACACUUUGGUGCUUGGAUGUGCGGGAACCUCGGGCACCAUCGGCAACCUAGGCCCUUGGUCGUGCGAGAGGCUCGGGCACCAUCGACAAACUAAGCCCUUGGUCGUGCGGGAGCCUCUGGCACCAUCAAUAAAAUAGGCCCUUGGUCGUGCGAGGGCCUCGGCCACCAUCGGCACCUCGGCCCUUGGUCGUGCGGGAGGCUCGGGCACCAUCGGUACCUUGGUGGAUCGAAUGUGCGGGAGCCUCGGACAGCAUCGGCACCUCUGUGGCUAGGAUGUGCGGGAGCCUCGGACACCAUCGGCAACUUGGUGCUUGGAUGUGCGGGAACCUCGGGCACCAUCGGCAACCUAGGCCCUUGGUCGUGCGAGAGGCUCGGGCACCAUCGGCAAACUAAGCCCUUGGUCGUACGGGAGCCUCGGGCACCAUCGGCAAAAUAGGCCAUUGGUCGUGCGAGGGCCUCGGGCACCACCGGCACCUUGGUGGCUCGAAUGUGCGGGAGCCUCGGGUAGUAUCGGCACCUUGGUGGCUAGGAUGUGCCGGAGCCUCGGACACCAUCAGCAACUUGGUGCUUGGAUGUGCGGGAGCCUCGGGCACCCAUCGGCACCUUGGUACCUGGGAUGUACGGGCUAAAGAAGAGUGUCCCCAUUUCAGAUAGUCGAAUGUUUCCUGGUAGCAUAUUGACGAAGUUUUUUUAGCUCUUUAAGGGGUAGAGAUCCGCUGCCCCCCGGCGUGCCCCCCCUCCGAGCCGAGGUGGGGUGCGUCUAGCCCCCCCAUAGGGGUCGGGUCGUCCCGCAACGACUCACCACGGGGGUGAGUCGGUCACCAGCGGUGGUGACCGGGGUGACAAUUUUCCGGCCGGUCAAGCCCGUGCCCAUAGAAAUGUAGCCAACGACUCUAGGACCAAGUUCCCUAUUCGGGCAAAGAUCUCUUGGGGUGGCUUAUGCAUUGCUAUGGGCUCGAGCUUGGCUUGCCCUUUCGCCCCCGUCACGUUUAGGGACGCCUUGUGCAUCCCAAGUCGGCGACCACACGGUGCAUCUUAUAACCUGCUUGGCAGGUUCGUGUUUUGCUCGCUUCUCUUCGUUUGGUCUCGCGUUUUUGUUGGGUAUUUUAAGUGUUCUCUUUUCUUUUGUUUUCUGGGUUUCUUCCUGGCCUUCGCUUUCUGCGUCUCGGUUGGUUCUUGGUAGAAGGUUUUGGACUUUUUCUUUUCUGUUGUAGUGCGGUGGUUCUUUCUUUUCGUAUUGUGGCAGUUUUUCAGGGGCGGCUGGAUCAUGGAGGAGAUUUCGGAACACGAUGGCAACCCAAUGACGGAGGAUCUUAGCGACCUUCUAGCGAGGCUGAGAUUUUCGGAAGAAGAAUCCGCCCAAAUUACAAGUAAAAAUAAUGAUCAUAGUGGACGCGGGUUCGAGUCGUGGGCGAUCGGUAAGAUUAUAGCGACAGAGACCCCAAAUAGUGAGGCUAUGUAUAGGGUCUUCAAGUCGUUGUGGUAUACUAAAGAAAAGGUGGAGUUUGCUGCGUUAAAGGAAGGGGUGGUGAUUGUUAAGUUUGGGUGUCAGGAGGAUCAUAGUCGCAUCUUAAACCUCACGCCGUGGCUGUUCGAUGGUGCUUAUUCUCAAUGUUGCCGUUUGAGAAAGGAAAAGACUUUGACUCGUAUGAGUUCUGGUGGUCGCCUUUCUGGCUAAGGAUUUAUAACAUCCCUUUAGAGCUUAUGGACUGACAGACGGCGUUGGAUGUUGGAAAUGCUGUGGGCAAACUGGUGGCGAUUGAUUGGAAAGACCGAAAUGGGGGGUGGACGGAAUUUAUUAGGAUCAAAGUCAAAAUAAAUGUGUUAAAACCCUUAAGGAGAGUGGUUAAAUUACUGGAUAGGGAGGGGUCAGAAGUGACAGGGGUAAUAAAGUAUGAACGGCUCCCGAAUUUUUGUUAUGCCUGCGGGCUGGUAGAACAUGUGAGCAAGACUUGUAAUAUCAACAAGGAGAGCUGGACGUUGACGGAGUCAAGCCUACAAUAUGGGGGAUGGAUGAGGGCACCAACUGUUAAUCUGACCCAGAGCAGAGGAAUAAGGAGAAAUGGAGUGGAAAUUAUGAAACAAAAUGCCCAGAAAAGCAACGAUAGGGAGGAAAGCCAGUCAAAUUCAAGGGGGGAGAAAGAACAGAUGGGACAGGAAAAAAAAGGAUAAAUCUGGGGAAGAAGAGUCAAUGUCCACAUCACCUGUGGGAAAAAAGUUUCAUAGAGUAGUAAGGGACGGUAUGGGAAGGUUCAAAAGCAAACGAAAGGGACACAUGGGUGUAGGAGGAGAAAAUUUGAAAGAAAGUCCAGCAAAAAUGGAAAAAAGGAGGCUGUUAGAGAGUCUCUCCCCUUUGAAGGCGGUGGCUGGUGACCAGCCCCGCCAAGAACAAUGAAAAUCUUAUGCUGGAACUGUCGGGGGGUUGGAAACCCCGCGACAGUUCGUGAAUUGAAGCAACUUCUCGUUGUAAAUGUUCCUGAUAUUAUUUUCCUGUGCGAGACCAAAAUCCAUGCUAAUGAGUUAUCUCGUAUUCGUUUCAUGUGCAGGAUGGAGGGUUGUUUUGCUGUUAGUUCGGAUAGGAAGAGUGGUGGUAUGGCUCUGAUGUGGAGGGAGGGUGUGAAUGUUACUAUCCAGAAUUACUCAAAAUAUCAUAUUGAUUCUGUGGUUCGUAGGGAGGAAGGUGAGAAGUUCCGGUUUACUGGCUUCUAUGGGCAAACUGAGCCAAGUCUAAGGAAUGAAGCUUGGGAUAUGUUGAGAAGAGUGAAAAAUACGGUGAAUGAAGGCUGGAUUGUGAGAGGAGACUUUAAUGCUAUUUUAAAUGAUUCUGAGAAGGAUGGCGGCCGCAGAAAGUCCAGGGCUGGGAUGGAUGAGUUUGGGGAUAUCUUGGAUGAGUUAAGCUUGAGGGAUGUGAAAACGUUCAAUGGCUGGUUCACUUGGUCGAAUAACAGAGAGGGAAACAGGAUGGUGAAAGAAAGGUUGGAUAGGUUUGUCAUCUCGGACGAUAUCAUGGAAAAAAUGCCGUUCCUCGUCUCCUAUGUUGUGCGCUAAUCCAAGUCUGACCAUGAAGCAAUCCUUAUGGACUUGUAUGGAAAUAGACUGCAGGGUAAGUGUAAUGAUCCUAAGGUUUUUUUCAGAUAUGAUCGUUGUUGGACCAAGGGGCGGGAGGCCAGAGACAUCAUUUCUGGUAUUUGGUCUAACGAGGGUUCAAAUCUGUUGGGAAAAAUGGAGCUGGUUCGGGAAAGGUUAGGUCGUGGCAAUACAAACGGUAUAGAAGAAUGAAAGACAAAGUAAAAAGGUUGGAGAAGAAUAUCGAGAGAAUUAUGGAUGGUCCUAUGAACGAGAGAACUACCUUUUUGCUUAAGGAAGCCCGUCUCAAGUUGGGCCAGUUGUUUGAUGCGGAGGAGCAAUAUUGGGCGACUAGGUCAAGAUCCCAGUGGCUUAGGGAAGGGGAUAGAAAUACCCGCUACUUUCACAUGCGGGCUUCGGGGCGUAAAAGAAAAAAUAGUAUCGAAAGGCUUAAAGACGAGCAGGGUAUUUGGCAUGAUGACAGCGAGGAGAUCUGACAUGUUGCUCGGGACUAUUUUUAUGGUUUGUUCAAGACUUCCCUUGAGGCGGUGGAUGAAGGCGGUUUACAUGUUAUUCCCGAAUGCAUCAACGAGGAAACGAAUAGGUGUUUGACUAGGGAGUUCACUAAGGAGGAUAUUUUGCUGGCUUUUUCUCAAAUGGACCCCCGUAAGGCCCCUGGGAUUGAUGGGCUGUCGGGGAGUUUUUAUAAGGAUCAUUGGUCGAUUGUAGGCAAGGAUGUGUUGAGCAUGUGCCAGGAUAUUCUCAAUGGUCAUAGGAGUGUUGAGCCUAUUAACGAAACUCUUAUUGUUUUGAUCCCUAAAGUUAAAAACCCUUGUUUUAUGGCUGACUUUCGUCCUAUAAGUCUAUGCAGGUUUCUCUACAAGAUUGUUUCGAAGGCCCUUGCGAAUAGACUUAAGGCGGUCCUUCAUUUGUGCAUUAGCCAUAAUCAGAGCGCUUUUGUUCCUAAUAGGAUGAUCCAUGACAACAUUUUGGUGGCUCAUGAGAUUGUGCACUACCUCGGGAGUUCAAAAAAUGGCCCUAAUAAGGGUUGUAUGGUCAAGCUCGAUAUGAGCAAAGCCUACGACCGUGUGGAAUGGAGUUUCCUUAAAAAUGUCCUGAUUAAGAUGGGUUUCAUUGUGCCUUGGGUUAACAAAAUUAUGGACUGUGUGUGCUCAGUCCGGUAUAGAGUUAAAUGUAACUCUAAGAUCUCCGAUAUCAUUUUUCCGGAGAGAGGGCUCCGACAAGGGGACCCGUUAUCCCCGUACUUAUUUCUUUUGUGCAUGGAAGCUCUGUCCCGCAUGUUGAUUCAUGCUCAAGAGACAAAAACUAUUAAGGGCGUCCGGGUUAGUAAGGACGGUCCGAGAAUAAACCAUCUAUUUUUUGCUGAUGAUGCCUUACUGUUUAUCAGGAACAGACAGAGCGAGGCAAAGGCUUUUUCAGUGAUCCUGGAGUCCUUUGAAAAGAUGUCUGGCCAAAAAAUAAAUUUGGAAAAAUCGAUGAUCUACUUCAGUCCCAAUACUUCCGGUCCUCACCGUGUGAGAUUAAGCAGUAUCCUUAAGAUGAGGGUGGUUGAUAACCUUGGUACUUACCUGGGAUUGCCUAUUCCGAUUGGCAAGAAGAAGACGACGGCGUUUCAAGGCAUGCUGGAUAGGAUGGAAAAUAGAAUUAAUAGUUGGUCCAAAAGGUUACUGUCGAAUGGUGGCAAAGAGGUGUUUAUCAAGUCGGUUCUUCAGUCGAUCCCAUGUAUGUGUUGUCGAUUUUCUUUGCUCCUGAGGGUAUCCUGGAUAAGAUCCAGGCUAUGAUAAGCAGAUUCUGGUGGAGUAGUAAGGAUAAGACUCGGGGAUGGAAUCGUUUGGGGUAGGAUCGGGUUUGUUUCCCAAACGGCAUGGGGGUAUGGGGUUUAGGGACAUCCGGCUGUUCAAUGUGGCUUUACUUGGGAGACAAGUGUGGAGGUUGGCAAGCUGCAAAGACACUCUCUGUUUUAAAGUUCUCAGUGCCAAGUAUUUCCCGAAUGGUGAUGUUUUCCGGCCAAAGAAGGUUGACAAGCCUUCUUUCACGUGGAAAAGUAUUUCUAGAGCUGCUUGUUUCUUGCAGGAGGGUUUCGGGUGGAAUGUGGGAAAUGGCAGAAAGAUUGAUUUGUGGCAGGAGAAUUGGGGUUUUGAAGGGCUUUCAGGUGAGUCGAUCCGCCUCAACAGAAGGGAUAUGCAUGAGACCAUGGUUUGUGAGCUUUUCGAUGAGUUGAGUACUGGCUGGAAGGAGGAGAGGGUUCGGGAGAUUUAUGGUGAGUUUGUGGGGGACCAAAUCUGUAAUAUUCCCAUUCUUCAUAAUGGUCCUGACGAUCAUCGCAUUUGGUUCCAUAAUCCGCUGGGUUCGUAUUCAACAAAAUCCGCUUACUUCUGGAUGACCUUAAAGCAUGUGGGCUUUGGCCCCCAUCGGUGUGUGUGGAGGCUGAUCUGGAAACUUCAAACCUUACCAAAAAUCAAGGUUUUCUGCUGGCGCCUGGGUCAUGAUAUUCUUCCGACGUACGAGAACAUUUCUAAAAUCAGAAGGGAUUUUAACUACUUGUGCCCGCGAUGUGGGAUUGAUACGGAGACUCUCAUUCAUGCGUUGAAAGACUGCUCGAGAGCCAGGGCGGUCUUGACUUUUGGUGGCCUUGACAAUGCACUUAUGGAGGGGUGUUAUCGGAGUUGUGUGGACUGGAUCGAAGGUGCGGCUCGGCUAAUGGAUAAUGUGGCCCUUUCGAAUUUUGUUACUGUACUUUGGAAUAUUUGGAAUAGCAGAAAUAAUAAAGUUUUUAGAAGCAUGGAGGAUGAUCCGAAGGUCAUCUGGGACAGAGUUGCAACUUUGAACAGGGACUUUCGUAUUUUUAAUAUUGUGGAGAAACCGUUGAUUCCAAAACCGGUCGGGGAGAAGGGGUGGCAAAAGCCUGGUUUUGGGGUGGUAAAAAUUAAUGUUGAUGCUGCUGUGGAGGGUAAAAGGAUGAGUUUCGGGGUUGUUGCCAGGGACCAUGAGGGCUUUGUGCUUAGGGGGUGCGCUGGUGUUAUGGAAAAUCAAGCUGGUGCUGAAUGGGCUGAACUGUUAGCUUUAACCGAAGGCUUGGAACUAGCGUGUGAGAAAAGGUGGCUCAAUCUGGAAUUGGAAUCAGACUGUGCGAGUUUGGUAAACAGGCUUAAAAGGACGCGCGAUGACUAUUCAACUUUUGGCUUCCGCAUUCGGCAGCUGCUUAAUUCUUUUGAUACGUGUUUUCUUUUUAAUUUCGUUUGGGCACCGCGCUGUUGUAAUAAAGCAGCGGACCAGCUUUGUACUUGGGCUUUUAAAAACAAUUGCUCUAUGGUUUUUAACAUGGACUAUCCGAAUGAGAUCCAUGAUGUAAUUUUGAAGGAUGCGAUUAAUUGAGUUUUUCCGACCUUCGAGUCUUUCCAUCAAAAAAAGAAUGUCACCUGGUAGCGCAUUGACCAAGUUUUUUUAGCUCUUUAGGGGGAGGUGAUAUUGAGCGAGCAGGGGUUUUCCAGGGCACGGCCCACGCCCACCGUAUGCCCGGACGUCGGUGCCCCUCCACCGCCGGUUAGGUUCCCGGCAGUGCUCCGGCGAUCCGUCCCGGCGGUGCUCCGGUGAUCCGUCCCGUUGAUGCUCCGGCGAACCGUUCCAGUAGCAUAGGCCCUUGGUCGUGCGGGAGCCUCGGGCACCAUCGACACCUUGGUGCUAGGAUGUGCAGGAGCCCCGGACACCAUCGGCAAACUAAGCCCUUGGUCAUGCAGGAGCCUCGGGCGCCAUCGGCACCUCGGUGCUUCGAUGUGCGGGAGCCUCGGGCACCAUCGCCAACCUAGGCCCUUGGUCGUGUGGGAGCCUCGGGCACCAUCGGCACCUCGGUGCUAUGAUGUGCGGGAGCCUCGGACACUGUCGGCAACCUAGGCCCAUGGUCGUGCGGGAGCCUCGAACACCAUCGGCAGCUUAGUGCUUGGAUGUGCGAGAGCCUCGGGCACCAUCGGCAACCUAGGCCCUUGGUCGUGCCAAAGUCUAGUAACAUCAACAUCUGACAAGGAAGAGGAAGUGAUGUGUAACAUCCCCAACUCGUAUCCUUCGUCGAAACAGGGUUACAGAGCAUUACCAGAGUUUUCAAAUCAAACGAACAUAAAUUUCAAACAUUUCAAAUCAUAUCAAUAAUCAUAUUAAAACCAAUCAAAAUCAUGCAUAUUUCCCUUAAGCGAGCCCUCGAGGCCCUAAAUACGUAUUAGAAACAAGUUGGGACUAAAUCAGAAACUCCAAGAAUUUAAAAAAAAAUGUAACACUGCAGGGGUCACACGACUGUGUGGGCAUUCAAAAUAGGGACACACGAUCGUGUCCCAGCCUAUGUAACUCACUAACUUGGGUCACACGGCCAAGUCACACGCCCGUGUGCCAAACCGUGUACCCUUCAAAGUAACCCUACACGCCCGUGUGCCAAGCCGUGUAACAGCCUGACUUGCAACCCUUUGAAAGCUACAGGGGACACACGACCAUGUCACCUGGCUGUGUGUCACACAAGGUUGAGACACACGCCAGUGUCUCUACCCGUGUGGAGGAAAAUAGGCCAUUUUACAAGACAUCUUUCUCACCCAAACUAGCAUGUACCUAUAACCAAAAGUGCACAUAUGCACAUGCCUUAAUAAGGCACCAAAAUCAAGCAUAAACAAGUCAUAUACAUAUGGUAUAACAUCAUACAACCAAUAUGAACCAAUAUGCCCUUAGGCACAUCAAAUGACAAUAUAUAAACAUGUUUAACCAUAUAUUCAAAUUGGCCAAAAUGACUAACUUUCAACUAAACUUGCAUCAAUUCAAACCAUUGAAUUAACUUACCAAAGCUUAUCAAUGGUACAAAAUAUGCCAUUCAUAACAAGAUACCAAACCACAACAAGUUAUAAGGUUUAUACAAUAUGGAUAUUUAUCUAUCAUAAAUCAAACAUGUUAAGCCAAACAUUGACCAUAAUAAGGUUAAUAUUUACAUGCCAUAAACUAAGCUCAUAUUAACAUUAAAAUGCUAAGUCACAAGCCAAACCAAAUGGCUAUUCCAACAACCAAAACACAUGGCCAACAUUAGCCAACAUACCUAUACAUGCCAUUAUAAACAAAAUUAAACAUCCAUAAGUACCAGAAGAGUCGAUAGAUAGUGUGAUAGAUCUUUGACAACUUUCCAAUCCGAACGAGCUUCCGACAACUACAAACACAAAAAAAUUAACAGAAAGUUAGCAUUUCAUGCUUAGUAAAUUCGUAACACGAACAAUCUGAUCUUUCACAAGCUACAUUCAUACUCAAUCCAACAUGAGAAUUACUAAUUCAAGAACUUAUAUAAGUACAUUCAUACUCUUAACUUUCACAAGGUACACAUUACUUACCUUCCAUCAAGCUAACAUAAUUUAUAUUGAAUAUUCUUACCGAAUUUCACACGAGAUAAUAAUACGAUGGUUGACCCAUCCCUUUCCAUAAUUUGAUAACCGAAGUUAUCCCUUUUCAUAGUUCAACAGUCGAAGCUAUCCCUUUUCAUAAUUUGAUGGUCGUCACCAUCCCUUUUCAUAAUUGAUAGUCGAAUCUUUCCCUUUUCAUAGAUCUAUGAUCUCGCCGUUAUGCCGUUAAAUUUUCCAGUCAACACACAAUUUAAUAAUAUGCAAUAAUAGCAUUUAAAUCAUAAUUGAAAACACUAUUUACAUGUACAAACUUACCUCCACGAUAAACGUAGGAAAUGAAAUCGAGUAGUCUGAAGCUUUUUUUUGCCUCGAUCUAGAGUCGUAUGUGGUUUAUCUUAAUCUAAACGAAUAAAUUCAACUCAAUUCAAUAAUCAUUCUAUUCAAUUUAACCCAAAUUUACAUUUUAGAAAAAUUACAAUUUUGCCGCUAUACUUUUGAUUUCUUUUCAAUUUAGUCCUUAGCUCAUAAAAUGAAAAUUCAUGCAAUUCAUGCUUAGCCCACUAAAGUUGAAUUCCAUAUAGGUCCCUAGAAAACCCUAUACUUCAUCUAUUUCACAAAUUCACCAUGUAUAAUUUCUAAUUUUUAAUUUAACCCCUAUUUGACAAUUUCAUCAAAAAAUCACUUAGCAAAAGUUGUUUAUCUAUCAAAAACUAAUCAUUUUCUACCAUAAAACAUCAAAACAACAUAAUAUCAUUCAUGGAAAACCCUAACCUUUUAAUAAUUUUACAAAUUAGUCCCUGGGCUAGCUAAAUUAAGUUAUAACGACUCUAAAAACAUAGAAAUCAUUAAAAACGGGAUAAAAAAUUACUUACUUGCACAAGGUAGCCUAGCCGAACCUUCAAAGCACAAUAUGGUGUUUUCUUUCUCCAAAAAUCGGUGAAAAAAAGUGAGAAAGUUGAUACCAAAAAAUUUUGUUUUGUUUUACUUAAUUAAUUAAUUUACUUAUUUAACCUUUUAAUUAACCUUUGAAAAACACUUGUAUAAUGUCCAUAAAUGUCCACUCAAAUUAAAACAUCAAAGCAACAUAAUAUCAUUCAUGGAAAAACCCUAACCUUUUAAUACUUUUACAAAUUAGUCCCCGUGCUAGCUAAAUUAAGUUAUAACGACUCUAAAAACAUAGAAAUCAUUAAAAACGGGAUAAAAAAUUACUUACUUGCACAAGGUAGCCUAGCUAAACCUUCAAAGCACAAUAUGGUGUUUUCUUUCUCCAAAAAUCGGUGAAAUAAGGUGAGAAAGUUGAUACCAAAAAAUUUUGUUUUGUUUUACUUAAUUAAUUAAUUUACUUAUUUAACCUUUUAAUUAACCUUUGAAAAACACUUGUAUAAUGUCCAUAAAUGUCCACUCAAAUUAAAAAUGGUCUAUUUACUAUCCAAGUGUUUAAACAUUUAAGUUCCAUAGCUAUUUAGUGCUUUUAGCCUAUAGAACUCUAAUUUUGCACAUUUUUCAAUUUAAUCAUUUUUAUUGAAUUAAGCAUGCAAACUAUAAAAUUUCUUAAUGAAAUUUUUAUACGGUGAUACUAACAUGCUAUAGACUUAUAAUAAUAAAAUAAAUAUUUCAACAUCGGAUUUGUGGUCCCAAAACCACUAUUUCGAUUUCACCGAAAACAAGCUGUUACACGACGACUGCAUUGUAAUGACCCAAAUUUAAGGUAUCAGAAUAGUGGUUUCGUAACCACAAAUCUGAUUUAAAGAGAAAUUAUUAUUAAUUUUUAUGUUUUAUCGAGUGAUUAGAUAUAAGUAUUAGGGUAUUGAUAAGAAAUUUUAUUGAUUGCAUGCCUAAAUUGCCUAUUAGGACUUAAUUGCAAAAGUGGGUAAAUAUGAGUUUUAGAUGAUAAAUGAUUUAUUUGAAGUGCAUAAUCAAAGUAGAGGUCCUUAAAUAGUAAUUAGACCAUAAAAUUUCCAUGGACAAAAAUAGGCAUGCAUAGAUAAAAAUAACUAAAGUUUUAAUGAAGGGUAUUUUAGUGAUUGAACAAUAAAAAGAAUUAAAAGGGAAAAAGAUGGCAAAAAUAUCAUCUUCUCCAAAAAGCUUGCUGCCAAAAUUUGAAGGACACCAUAGCUAGGGUUUUCACACUUUCUCAAGCUCAUAGUAAGUGAUUCUAAGCCCCGUUUUUAAUGUUCUUUACGUUUUUGAGAUCCCGGUAGCUUAAUUUAGCUUAUUCUAGCAAUAAUUUAACCUAGGGUUUAUAUUUGGAAAAAUACCCAUAGGUGAAAAGUGUUUAUUUUGAUGUUUUAUGAUAGAAUAUGAAACUAUAAAUUAUGUUAAACAACUUUUGCUAGCCGAUUUUAAGCAAAAACGAGUAAGUUGACAUAAUCUGUAAAAAUCCCUAAUGUAGAUAAGUAAGUGUUAGAGUGAGAAUUUGAUGCUGUCAUAGAAGAGAAAAUGUUCAGCAUGUUAUAUAACAUAAGAAUAUGAGAUGAAGUUUAAUUUCUGAACUUUGGGACAAAAGCAUAAUUAUGUAAAAGUUUAAGGGUAAAAUUGUAAUUUUUCCAAAGUUAGAGUCGAUGGCUAUUUUAAUGAAUGUGAGUACUAAAUAAGUUAAAAUUUCUAUUAUAGAUCAAGAAGAACGAAAUUCGAGGUUAGAUCGAGGAAAGAAUAAAGUUGAAGACUAAAUUGAUAAGUUUGGCUAUAUUUGCUACCGAGGUAAGUUUACAGUAAAUAAAUACAAUUUUUUAAUAAUUAUUAUUAAUGCUGCUAAUUUCCAGUAAUUAUGUAUUUAUUUCAUGAAUUUAUUUUAUAUUGACUCAAGUAUGAGACGAUAGAGAAUUGAUAUUAAAAAGUCUCGUUGAAGCAUAAGGAAGGUAUCGGAUACAAAUGUCAUGACAUUUGGGUAAAGAGAUCCCAUGUAAGACCAUGUUUGGGACAUGGCAUUGGCACCGAGAUAAGAGGUCCCGUGUAAGACCAUGUCUGGGACAUGGCGUUGGCACCAAGAUGAGAGGUCCCCCGUAAGACCAUGUCUGGGACAUGGCAUGGGCACCAAUAUGAGAACUCCUAUGUAAGACCAUAUCUGGGAUAUAGUAUUGGCAGUACAGGAAACAUCCCAUGUAAGACCAUUUCUGGGACAUGGCUUUGGCAUGUUAUUAUCAGAAAGAUACCCAAGUAUCCUUAUUAUUUCAAUGUGGUUCAACGGGCUAGUAAAUAACUUAUGUCCAUGAAAGUUCAGUGAAAAGCAUAAAUGGCAAGCUCAAGUGAGUUAUAAGAGUUAAGAGUAUAUUACAUUACCCAUUGAGAAUCAACAUUUCAUCAAGAGAAAAGUAAGUCAUAAUUAUGAGUUAUCUAAGUAAACAAGCAAGUGAAUGAGUAAGAGAUCAAGUAACGAGGAAAUUAAAGAUUAUGUUACUUGGUUAUUAUUAUUUGUGUUUAUUUUUUCUAUUUAUUUACAUUUAAACUUACUAAGCAUUAUGCUUACUUUUUUUUAUUUUCUUUUUAUAUAGCUUUACUAAUCAAAGUAGAGGAUCCUACAGAUGUCGGAGAUCGUCCACACUAUCAACCACAACGACUCGAUAUUUUAUGAUGAACUAUGUUUGAACUAUGACAUGUAUAGGGACUUACCUAUUUUGAAUAUUUUAUUAUGAUUUUGAUAAAAAAUGAUGUGUAAAUAUCUAAUGAUGAAUGGUUGUCAAAAUAGAUAAGUAUGACGGUGUUUGUUGUUAUACAUGUCUAUGUGAUAAAUUAUGCAUAGAAAUUAUGAAAGAGUAAUAAUUUGCAAAGAAACAGAUUUCAAAUAGCAGCAGUGACGUGAUUUUGAAAAAUCACUUAGGAUAGUAUAAAAUGAAUUAGAGGGUGUACGAUAUAUAUAAUGAAAUCUUGUUGAGUCUAUUUUCAUGGAAAAAUAACGGUUUAGCAAAAUGAAUUUUAUAUUUUGAGAUAUGUGAAUUUCGGUGAGAUAGGGUCAGAACUAUUUUUGGAGUCCCCUAUUCUGAUUUUAUAAAAUCACUAAAAAUUGUAAAAAAAAUAGUUAUAAGUUUUAAUUUAUAUGUCUAUAUUUAUUAUUGAGUCUAUUUUCUGUAGAAACAAGUGAGAACACCAUAUGAAAAUCCUACAAUGAGAAAACUUAUUUUUAGUGGAAAGAGUUCAGGACAUUCAAGUAGUGAAAUAGGGGAGACUUUAACUAAUAAAAUGUACUAAUUGGAUGAACCAAAAAUUCUGAAAAUUUUAUGGUAAGAAGAUAUAUGAGUCUAGUUUUAGGAAAAAUUUACGGAUUUAAAUUUUGAGUUUUUUUAUCUUGAGUUAUAAAUAAUUUAGUAACUGUUGCGCGAUUGGUCAGAUUUAUUAUAAAUAGUGAGAUUAGUUUCAAAAGCAAAUUUUUAUGCCUCAAACUAGUAAGACAAGUAAAGUAACGCCUCAUGCUCGACUCCGGAAACGGUCUCGGAUAAGGGGUGUUACAUGUAUCACCAAUAACAGUAGAACCUUGUAAAACAUAUAAGUUGGUAGUCUUUCUCUACCAUUUCAUCACAACGAGGGAACCCUUACUAAUAUUCAGAACCCCACUUUAGCUGUUUACUUCUACCCUUUUGAAUCAAGAGUACUCAACGAAAUAAAAUUCCUCUUGAAUUCUAGUACAUGUCGUACGCCACUAAGUGUUUUGACGACUCCAUCGAACAUCUUAAUUUUGAUAGUGCCAAUACUUGAGAUUUUACAUAAAGCAUUAUUUCCCAUCAAAAAGACACCUUUAGACACUAUUUCAUAUGUUAUAAACCCAUCCCGAUUGGGACUCAUAUGGAAGGUGCAACCAGAAUCGAGGAUUCACUCUUCUUUCACUUUAAAGUUUUCGACAGAAGCAACUACGAGUUCACCAUCGCUGUAGUCUUUUAUAACAUCAACUUCACUGGAUUGUUCUGGUUGUUUUUCCUUUUCAUUCGCAGCCUCCCUUUUGAUCUUGUUCUGCAACUUAUAGCACACAGAUUUGAUUUUUCCUUUCUUCUUGCAGAAGUUAUAGGUUUUACCUCUAUUUGAAGAUCUCGAUCUACCUUUAGAUUUACUACGAGUAUUUUUUUCUUGCGUCUUCCCAUGAUACUCAUCAGUAUUUUAUUCUUGUCUCCCAUGAACAAUGAGACCCUCUCCCUGAGAGUCGGAUCCAACCACAAGAUGUUUCAUCUUUUCAAUGAGGUUAAGAAAUCAUAGACUUCAUCAACUAUGAAAGAUUCACAGCUCUAAAAAUUUGUAUCUCUAAAGGUUGAAUAAGACGGGGGCAACGAAAAAAUUAGAAUUAACCCUAAAUCUUAUUUAUCAUACUGAACCUCCAAUCCUCUACUUUUGACAGAAUUUCUUUAAGCACAGUUAAGUGUUCGUGCAUAGACGCACCUUCCUCCAAACGAUGAGCAUAAUGACGUUGCUUCAUAUGCAACUUGCUAGUUAGGGUUUUUGACAUUCAUAGCUGCUCAAACUUCUUCCAUAAUGCAACGACAGUCUUCUCCUUCAACACGUCCUGUAUAAUUUCAUUCAACAGAUGCAGCUGUAAUUGUAUUAAAGCCUUUCGGUCUUUACGUCUCUUCUCUUCAUCCAUCAUUGUUGAAGGCAUCUUAUCUAACCCUAGCAGGACAUCUUCCAAAUCCAUUUGUGCAAGAACUGCCUGCAUCUUUACCUGUCAUAACAUGAAUCUAGAGUUGCGAUCCAAUAAUAGAAUAUCAUACUUCAUUGUCGUCAUUACCAUGAUUAAGACAAACAACCAAAAAAGCUCUUGAUGCUAAUUUUUAGAACUAACAUCGAUAAUGAAAAUAUAGAACGAUUGCAAAGCAAUAAGAAAAAACAAAAAACAAAAAUAAAGCACAAAUUAUACGUGGAAAACCCUUUCGGGAAAAACCAUGGGCAGAGGAGAAUAAAAUUCACAAAUGUCGAAUUCAAAUGAUACAAGAGAAGUUUGGGCUACAUCUAUUUAUAGGUUGAAAAAUCUUAUUUUAAUCCAUGUCAAAUAGAUGAAGUGUAGUAAGGUUGAAAAACCUUAUUCUAAUUAAUGUAAAAUAAAAUAAGUAUAGUUCUAUAUGGAUUUUACUUUUAUUUUAUUUUACCACUGUAUUUUAUUUUAACAAGGAUUUGAGUCACCCAACUCUAACAGUUAGAAAAGGUCACACAAAACUAACGUGGUCUUUGGUUGAAUGGGAUAGUUCCUUAAUUUGAAACAGAAUGUCACAUCCCAAAAUCGGGUUAGUAGAAUCGAGAUUGUGAACUAGGUGUGGUCACGCCCUAGUUUUAGGAUUAUCUUUGUGCGUUUGGUAAAUAAAUGAGUUACUAGUUUAAUGGUUAAGUGUUAGUGAAAUUGUCCUUGAAACUGAGGUUCAAUUCCCUUCCCUCGCACCAUUUUGGUUAUUUUGGAAAUUUUGCUUCAAACCCUAGUAUAUGUCACGCCUUGUUUCAAAAUUGAAAUUCAUAAAAUUAUUUCAAGAAUGAGUAAUUGGCUUAAUGGUUAAUAGAAAAUAAGGAGAUAGUGUAAUUGGCUUUGAGACUUGAGUUUGAAUCUCUUUCCGAGCAAAACAAUUAUGCUAAUUUUGCUCUCACUCCUUAAGUGUGCCAUCCAACCUAGUGAAAACCCUAGGUAUAUAAGUUAUUUAUUUUAGAUUUUCCCACUUCUUAUUCUACCCUAAAUUUUCCUUUCCUCUCCCUCUCUCAUUUUCUCUCAAAUUUUCUCCUUUCUUUUUUCCUUGUGUCAUCCCUAGCUUAGUGAUUUUCACCAUUGUUGCGCUGCCUCCUUGCUCUAUUAUUUUGUUAUCAUUCUUCCAGCCUUAUUGUUGGUAUUUUUUAAUCACCAAAUCAGCCCCUUUUCUACCCUAAAACCCUCCUCUAAUCUACCUAAAUCAACCUUUCCUUUUUGCCAUUAAAACCUCUAUUACCGCCCUUUCUUCUCCACUCGUGGUGUACCGAUUUGUUUCCUUUUCCUUCUUGAUUCUUUUUCUUUUUCUUGUAAAAACUUUAUAUUGUUUUUAAAACCAUUCUAUUACUGAUUCCAGCCUCUAAAAUUCAUCCUCUUUGCUGCCAAAACCUAUUUUUGUGCCACCCCAAAUCAGCCACAUUCUUGUCGUCGCUUGUGGUGGUGUGCCGCCCCUUGGUGUAACACUUGUGGGCUGCUAUUUUCUCUUCUUUUUCUACCCAUUACAGUAGUGUCUACCUCAAUUUUCCUUUGUUUAAAACAACCCUAAAUGUUCUUAAUUAAUGGUGUAUUCGAUCUUAUUCAAUUGACAUCUUAGAUCUAGUUAAUGUAAAGCGUAAGUGUGGAUUUAAGCGAGUUAUUGUGAUGUAUUCAUUUCAUUAAAUUUUUUGGUUUGGCUGAAUGUUCUAAGGCCUUUAAUUGGUUAUUGGUUAUUUAUUUUUAAGUAUUAUUUCAAUAUUAGGUAUUGAUUUGAACGCCCCGGAUCAACAGCGAAGUCAGAUUUCAUUCACGCCCUUGUUUCGCAUAAAAUCAAUGUAAGUUACCUUGCCGAAUUGGACCUGAAUAUUUGUUGGUGCAACACUAAUUUGGAUGAAAUGUUAGGGUUGUUUCAAGGGUGGUUUUAAUAUUAUUUUAACGCAUAAAAUGUUGUAAUUUGGUUUUAGGCACGUUUAAAGUUUAAGUGUGGAAGUGCGAACUUUGUGGAUUAAUGCUGCAGACUUGCGAUUUAAGGUGUGAGUCCUAACUUUGUAUAAUCAGUUGUUAAAUCUUAAUAUAAUUCUUAAAUUUAUACUAAAUUCUUACUAUUCAGGAAUGGCUUACUGGCUUAAUAGUGAAUUAAAGGUUGCCGAAAAGGUACGUGACUUAAAAAUUAUUGACUGAAUGAUUAAGCCUUUACUGGAUUGUCUAUUUGCGUAAUUGUUGUAUUUGAUUGUUUAAUUAAUUUCCAAUGUUAUGGAUUGUUGUAUGCUGGUUGUGACAUGCUUUGAAAUGAUGUUAUAUCGUGUUCAUUAAUUAUGGGAUGCAUGUGGAGUGUUUAUCAUGUAAUGUCACUAUUCGAAUUGCAUACUAAGUAUGACAAGAUUGUAUCGCAUAUUACAUACCAAUAAAAUUGUUGGUUUGAUUGACUGAAUGUUUGUAAAACUAAAAUCGGACAUGUACUGAGAGCAUGAUUGAAUGGCAAUGUAAAUCAAAAGUUUGCAAGACAUACACAAACUCUGAUUAUUGAUAAGCAUGGUAGGCAUGCCAUUGAAUUGGGUAUGUUACUAUAAGCAUGAAAAACAUGGCAUUUUAUUGAAAUUGAAACAAAAGCAUGAUUUUUCUCAAUGAUUGUAUGUCAUUAUGCAUAUGCAUGGGGUGGGUUAUUGUGUUUGACAAAGGACUGGCGACAGUUAAAGUCCACAAUAUUGUUGUCAGUGUACUACAUUGGGAGUACCAAGGAGAUUGAUGAUUUAUUGCAUUAUUGGCAGCUUGUCUACAUAUAUUGGCAUUUUAUUUGCAUUAUCGUUACUGGCAGCUUGUCUGUAUAUAUUGACAAUUUAUCUACAUUACCAUCAUUGGCAGCUUGUUUGCAUAUAUUGAGAAUUUAUCCGCACUACCGUACUGGUGGUUUAUCUACAUCGAGCUACGGCUCACACUAUUUGGUGUUCCGCAGAUAGGUUCUAGGGAACUACUCAUGGUGUGUAGCGGAUGGUUGGGUAGGAACUUUUGCAUUGCAUCAUUUUCAUCACCUCGUGCUUAUACACCAUUUGAUAUCGUAUGAUAAUUGCUAUGUAUCAACAUGAAUUUGCAAUGUUGGCUCAGUGUUUUUCUAUUAACGCUUAUAUGCACUGCUUGAUGAAAUUCCAUGUUUAUUAUAGAUAUUGUAUUAAUGAUUUUCUGCGUUACUGUAGCUGAAUGUUUUUCGGUUUAAAUAACUGUUUGACUCACACUAAACUUUCAUAAGCUCACUCCCUCACAGUGUAUAAAUUUUUAGGUGAAUCUCAAAACUAGGGUCGGACCUAGCAUACAGAGUAUCACCUUGAACAUCAAGCUAUUUUUAAUUAAGUUUUAUUAAUAAGUCUCUAUUGGUCUUUGUUUGCAAUUGUAAUUAUUUUUGGUCUGUGGCUUGGUCACUUUUCAUUUUGGGAUUUUUGCAGGCAUGAAUUACUUAAACAUAAUAAUCGGUAAAUGCAUGAUAUCUGACUUAAGUAAAUUUGAAAACAAUCUCCAAUUUCCACUACAUUUCAAAGAAACCGUUUUUGCAAAAACAAACAAAUCGAUAAGGCAACUAGAUUUCUAAAAUGACACGAGUAGUGAUUUUUUCGCUACAUUAGUUAACAUCAAAUUUUUACAAAACAGAGCGACAAACAACAUUGACAACAAUAAAAUGAAUCUAAAGUAAGGAUGACCUAAUAAAUGAAGGUUUUUAUACCAACUCAAAGUACAACCGCAUUUUUUUUUCCUUUCUCUCUAAAAUGAGUCGAUUUAAGGUAUUCAAAAGUAUUGUAAGUUAGCUUAGUCAUUUUGAUGGCUAACGUAGCCUUCUCAAUCUAGCCAUAACGUUUAAGUCGGGUUAGGAAGGUUACACAGAGAAAUAAAAAGAGAGAUUCAACAUGGAAUCCAAAACUAAAUAAAAAAAUCUAAAAAAAAAAGAGAGAGAAAGAGGAGAGACUUUUGGUUCUCUAAUUCAACAUGCUACCCGAAACUAAAUAAAAAUAAUUCUAAAAUAGAAAAAAGAAAGGCUUGAAGCUUAUUGUGUUUUUCUUUAAUGGUUUCUAAGUUUGCUUUUGGGUACUUGUUUUAGGGCUUCUAGCUUAAGUAAGGACAAAAAGAGAGAAGGGAUAAUAAAAUGUCAAAAAAUCGUACUUUUCGGAGCAGCGAAAGAUGGCGAAAUGUGGGUGGUAGCUUUAAAAACUUUUUGUAGAUCUACGGUGUUAAGGGUUGAUUUAGAAAAAAAAUAACAAAAGAAUCGAAAAGAGGAUGUUGAAUUCAUCCAAAUAUGAUAUUUUGAUAAAGAAAGGACACCAAAUGACAACGGCCCAUGGUGGUUGGUGUGGCAGUACAUGGUGGUAAACAGUGGUUUUCUUGAAAAAUGUUAAACGAUGGUUUGCUAAUAUGAUAUUUUUAUUAGCAAUUAUUUAUUUUAAUUUAAAAUAUAUUUUAUUUGAAUACUUUUACUAUAUAUUAAUAAUAUAAAUAAAACAUUUUUUUUAUUUUUAAGGGUAAAGUUGUCAUUUGUAAUCUAUUCCUAACCUAUUCAUUGUCAUUAUUCUAUUCAACCAAACUAUGUAAUAUUCGGGGCAUUAUUCCAUUCCGUUAUAGUUCUAUUAUAGCUCUAUUCCAGUACAACCCUAUUUCAUUACAGUGAACCAAACGUAUUAUAAGCGUAAGAAAUUUUACCUCAAAAACUUAUAUUCGUCAUAAUGAAGUUUUAGCUUUUUAUUCGCCAUAAUGAAUUUUUUGGCUUUUUUAUUCGCCAUAAUGAAUUUUUUGGCACUCCAUCUUUAUAAAAAAAUUAUUUUAGCUCUUCAUUUAAUUUUUUCAUUUUUUUGGUCCUAAAACUUGUAUUUUUUUAUCAAAUCAUCUCAAAAUAGAUGCAAAAGUUAACAUUUAUUAACAUUACUGACAUGACAUAUAUGUGGAUGACACGUUAGCAUUUAAUUAAUUUUUUAAAAAAUAAAAAAAUAUUUUUUCAUUACUUUAUAUAUUUUUUAAUAAUUUUAAUAAUUUUAUUUAAAAUUAAAUUAGAUGUUGAUGUGUCAUCCAUGUGGUAAUCCAAGUGUAUGCCACAUCAGCAAAGUUAAAAAAGCAUUAACUUUUCCAUCUAUUUUGAAGUGAAAAAAAAUAUAAAUGAAGGGCUAAAAUGACUUUUUUUUUAUAAAAUUGGAAUGUCAAUUAAGUCAUUAUAUCUUUUUAUUUGAAGGAUCCAGUUCCAUGAAAGGUGCAAAUUUGACAAAAAAAAUUCUGAAAGAAAGUUAUUUUGAUUUUGAAAAUAUCUUUCAAGUGAACUUUGAAAUAUAAAAAGAGUAAACUACACCAUUAGUCAUUAACUUAUGCGUAUGGUUACUUAAUUAAAAAAAUAUGUUACAAUUUGGUCAUUAAAAUUUUCAAAAUUACUUUUUCGUCGUUUGACUAUCAAAUGUCACUUUUUAAUUGGUAUAAUAAUACUUUAGUCGUCAUUUUUAUACUUUCUAUAAAUUUGACCUUGAUUAUAUUAAGAUGAUAAAAAAAUUAAAUUCUUUUUAAAAAUUUAGAAAAUUCUAAAAAUUAAAAAUAGAUAAAUAUUCAAAAAUAGAUAAAGUAAGAAAAAUGGGGAAAAAUAUUUUUAAACCCUCCAUUUUUUCUCCUUGUAUUAUCUUUAUAGAGAUAUCAUUUUGGGGUGUUCUUUAGGGGGUAUGUAACUCGACUUAAAGAUAUUCUAAUUUGGUUUUGAAAAAUACUGAGAAAGCAUGAAAUGAUCUAGCUUUUAUUGGGGGGUUGUUUAAUUUGUUAUUAGAUUCUAUUAAAUGUUUUUUUUUUGUAUUUCUAUUACAUAUUAGUUCUUCAACAACAAUAUUUUUGAGAUUAUAUUUUUCUAAAAUUUUUGUAUAGAAUUUUCUAUAUUUAAAUUAUUUUUAUAUAGAAUUGAUGUAAAAUUGGUAGACAAUAUAAAAGUUGAGGACUAAAAAUGUUAUUAGACCAAUUAAAAAAGUGCCACUUAAUAGUAAGAUUACAAAAAAUAAUUUUGAAAAUUUUAGUGACUAAAUUGUAUUUUUUUUAGUUAAGUCAUCAAAAUAAAAACUUCACCAUAAUUUAGUGAUUAGCGGUAAGGUUUACACUAAAGGAAAAAAUUUGAUAAGACUAUUAGCAAUUUAAUUUAGGAAAAAAAUAAACUAGCUGUGUAUAAAUAUUCAUAAUUUAUUAAAGAAUGGGCUAAAUUAACUAAAUGUGUCAUUUUUUUUAUUUCACCUUUUAGGCUAUUUUUUAAAAUUUUAAGGAAAUAGACCGUUUUUGGAAAGAGAAAGGGAAAGCACGUCCAUCUAGACGCGUUUUCCCUUUCUCUCUCCCAUGGUUAGACUUUUUGUUAGGGUUAGGGUUUUUAAGGGUUUAUGGGUGAAAUCAAAAAUUUUCAUAGGUAGAUUUGAGGGGUCGGGGAUGUGAUAAUGCGCCUUAGAACACAUACAUUUCAUAUGUCAUGGCGGGAUAAAACCAUUACCUCAGAAACCUAUCCUAGGGAAGUCAGGUUUUGGGAUGGCAAUGCUUUAUACGAUUGUAGGUCAAUGUCUAGUUGGAGGUCCUAGUCGACGACUGUGAUGCGAUUAUAGGUUCGAGUAUAAUCGGGGGUCAGUUGACGGCCGUUAUGCGGUCAGGAGUUCAAGCUUUUUGGAUACCCGCAAAUGAUGCAUUAUAUAUAGCAUACAUAAAACUGAAGCCAUAAUCAUAAGGAAAACAGAGGGAUUUCCAAUAUAAUCAACGUAAUUUUUUUCUCUAUUUCCAGGCAAUGGUAUCUUUAACCUUUCAUUCUUAUCCGGAGGCUGACACUGAGGUGGACACAAGAGGGCUUUCAGGCGGAGAACGAAUGUUCUCACGCGACAGUGGUUGUAAUUAUUAAUGGGUUGUUUAAUAACGAUAAUCGUUGUCACCUCGAAAGGAGCAUCACCUUUACUACACCACAAAAGUCGCUCCCCGUUUAAUAGUCCUUUUGUGUCUACGAUGAUGUCGACCCUUAGAUAAGAAGGAAGGUUAAAGGUAUCGGUUGCCUGAAAAGGGAGAAAACAAUUAUGCUUGUUAUAGCGGGAAGCCCUACUGUUUUUCCAUAUGAUUAUGCCUUCAAACUUCUAUAUGGUAUUUAUAAGGCAACAUUUUUGGGUAUCCAAAAAAUUUGAACUCGUGGCCGCAUAACGACCGCCAACUGGCUCCCCCAUUACACCUCGAUCCAUGAUCGCAUAACGGUCGUCGAUUGAGACCUCUACGUAGACUUCCAUCCACGAUCGUACAAAGAAAAAUCACCUCAAAACCCAACCUCCUCAGGAUAGGCUUCAGAGAUAAUGGUCUCAUCUCGGCAUGAUAUAUGAAAUGUAUGCGUCUCGGAGCGAUAUCGCAUCACCGACGACUCAAGAAUACCUCGACGGUCCUAAUUUUAUUAGUGACCGAAAUUUAUAACAUUUAAAAAUGUUGUAUAAUGGAGGGACGGAGAGGCUGGGGGACAAAAUGUUUGAGGGAUAAUGAAGUAUAGAGUUGGAGACCCCUUUUAUAGGCACUAGGGAAGAGUAGGAUUACAAAGAACAAAAUUCUUGUGAUCGAAAACACGCCACAAGACUAGGGUCUUUGACGAAUAUAAUCGAAAACACGCUCGUCUAGCUGGGGGAGCUUGUCUGCUGAUAUAGUAGGAAAGGCGUCUAGCUAGGCGCGCUUUUCUACUAUGUUAGUAAGGAAACUCGCCCAACUGGAUGCAACUUCUCUAAUAUUUUUUGGUCUAAAAAAUAAAAGUACCUGAAUUUAAAUUUUCAGCAGAUUUGAAGCACGUUAUGCACAUAACACCCUGAUAAGCACGCUUCUGAUGAAAUUAUAUGACUUUUGAAACAUGUUUUUGAGUAAUACUUUGCAUUUCAUCAUCAUUGUUUGACAAAAGCACGUAUCCAUAAACAAAUUUAUCAAAACAUAUUCCUUCUCUCCUUUUUUUAUUUUCCUAUUAAAGUAACAAAAUUUUCAUAACUUAGGCACACAGCAAAUUCAUAUCAAACAUCAAAUAUUUGAGUUGCGAGAGUCAUGUGUAUUUCUUUGGACAACCGUCAAUUGAUUUUUUUGCUUCGUCUUAUCCAAUUCAUAAUUGAUAUUGAAAUGAAUCGAUGAGUGAAAUCUGUUAUUUAAUAUGUCACACCCCAAAAUUGGACUUAGGAGUUUUAUGGGUAUUUUAGGAAUUUUAGCCUAAAUGAGUUCAGAAUUUCAUAAGUUUGGUAAUCGAUAAUGUUUUCGAUAAUAGUUUUCAUAAAAUUAAGUAAAUUUUUGAAAUCGAGUUUUAAAUAUCUUCAAUUCAGUAAAUAGGAUUGAUUUGUAAAGGUGUCAAAACUAAGAGUCUUGAUAAAGAAAAUAGACCAAAAUUUUUCAAUUCACUCUAAAAUCCCCUAAUUCCCAACAUGUUUCACGAAAAUUUUCUCCCCUAAUAGCUAGUAUGUCAUUUUUGCUCCCCUCUUGCUUUUCUAAGUGAUUCUGAACUUUGAUUCCUAAAUCCCUUUGAUUUCUAUCAUUUUUGAACCAUCAAUCUCUAUUAAAACUAAGCAAAUCACCUAAAAACUACAUCUUCUUCAUCUUCUCCAAAACGUGGAUUUUUUGGGUUGUGUCAAAAUCACUGUUUUUCUGAAUUCAAGGUAAUGAAUCAUCUUCCUAUUAGUUCUGAAGGUUAUUUGGUGCUUUGAAUCAAAUUAUUAGCUUGUAAAAUACAUGAUUUAGGUAAAAGCCGAAAUUAUGGUCAUUAAUUGUGGAUUUCGAGUUUGUGGGGAAAAACCUGAUUUUAAAGUGUUUUUGAACUUUUUUUAACAUGGUUAGAAGCUUUCUAAAGGUACUUUGAAGUUUCAUUAAAUUUUUAUUGUGUUUUAAUGAAUUUUUGUUAUUAUGCCAAAACUUGUCAAAAAAUUUUGAUACCUUGAAAUGUGUAGUUUUGUGUAGUUUAAAGGUUGUGAAUUAGUUGUAGAUGAAUAUGUAGAUGAAUGAAACUUGUUUCGUACAAAAAUAUUAAGUGUAGACCGAGUUAUUUGAAUUUUAAGUUUAUCAUGCUAAAGGUUUUGUUUAGAAGAAAAUGUAGCUUAAGGCUUAUGUUAGUGACUGUUUAGGGUAAGUUAUUGAUUGAUUGUUGAUUGAAUAUUUGUGAGGUUUGUCUUGUUGAAGUGCUGGAGUCAAUAGGACCUUUAACGAGUAGAGACAAAGGCAAAGAAAAUCUUGCCUAAGCUUUUAGUUUUCAAAAUGAGCUAAUUUUCGGUGAGUGUUUUGGAUUAAUCGCUUGCAAGCAAAUCGUUGUGUAUUUGGGAAUUUAUAAGCAACCUAAACCCUUACUCUAAAUUUCGAGUGUAAGUGUUCUCACAUUUAUGACAGAAUGGGUUGUAUGCAUGUUGUAGAAAUUGAGAUUGUAGACUUUUGAAUAUAAAGGUAAUGGUAGAAUAUAUGCCAUGAAGAUGAGAUGACUAUUGUGUAUGUGAAUAUAAGGGUAUGUUAAACAUGCCAUGUGGCAGAGAUUAUAAAGUGAUAUGAAUGAGUAUGUGCAAUAAAAAUGUACAUAGUAAUCAAUAUGUAAUUGUGUGUUUUUCCAUAGAUAUUUUGGCCUUGUGAUUUAUUGAGACUAUUGGAUAUAUUUAGCAUGUCAUAGGGUUAUGAGUACUCAUUUACAUGAGUCUAUGUGCGGUAUGGAGGAGAUCCGUGUAUUCGAUGUGUGGUAAUAAAGACCACUUUAUGUUUCAUCUUCUCAAGAGUCAAUCUAUCAUAAUCUGUACUUAUAUGUCAUUAUUAUGAUUAAAUGCAUGACUAUGGAUAUAUAUAAGAUUGUAUGCGAGUCACAUGUGUAAAACAUUAUGAUGUAUGUUGCUUUGAUGUUGCUAGCUGACUUGUUUGCACAGGUGGUUACUCUAAGCAUUCACUGAGCUUGUAAAGCUCACCCACUCUAUUCUUUACCAUGGCAGAUUCUUAGUGUCGAUGUGAACGGUGUGACCGUCGAGGGGUGAUCCAAGCUAUUAUUUAGUCAUUAUAGUAGGUGUUACUAAAUAUUCUUAAGUAUAUAGGUUAAGGCAAUGGGAUAGACGUUUAUUUUGGUUUGUUGAGUAUGUUUUGGAUUAGUUGUUUGCAUGUUAAUUAUGUUUAGAAGCCUUGAAAUUUGGAUAUGGUAUUUUGAAUUAUUGCUUUAGUUUUUUGAUGCUUAUUUGAUUAAAUGAAUAUAACAUGAUGUUUAAGAAUUGAGUUUGAAUGUUUUAAAUGCAAAUGUAUGUUGAAUUUUUGUUAGCAAAAAUAGAGGUAUCGAUAUUAAAGCUUAAAAAUGAUACCUUUGUACUCACGAAAGUGUAGGGAGUCAGAAUACGAAGUUUGUAUCGAUACCAUAGCCAGAGUAUCGAUACUCGAGGGGAAUUUAUCGAUACCCUGAGAGUGGUACGAAUAUUUUCUGAUAAGUUUGGUUUUAGGUGGGAAACAGUGAGCUAUUUUGGUAUCGAUUUUCCAUGUGGUACCGAUACCACUAAGAAUAAAUAUCAGUACCUUAUAUUUAGUAUCGAUACCUACUUAACCUUUUUGGGAAAUUUUGCUAUGAGGUCUCAAAGUUUGAUAAAUGCUCAAAUUUAGUUCGAAUGUUGUAUGUUUGCUUGACUAAGUUUCAAAUUGAGUAUGCAUGACUCAUAAUUGGCUUCAAAGUACCAUCGUUAAAAGUAACUAAAAAGAUGCAUGUUUACUUAAUAAAAUGUAGUCUUGAUGGAUAAGAAGUGUGACGGUGAUGUAACGUCCUAGUAUUUAGGCUCGACGACCGGGCUACGUAUAGGGUGUUACAUUUGAUGGUAUCAGAGCCAGGUUAAAUAACCUUCGAACCUAGGUGACUGUUGUGUGUUUGGAGUUUCAAAACUCAUGAGUCUAAGUCUUUUUUAUUUCUUAAAUUUUUGUAUUACAUGAAAUUGUUUGAAAGGAUUUGAUUAAAAUUGUAUAUGAGGUAGGAAUAGGAACACAUUGCCUUAAAAUCUAUAAUUUGUUUGAAGGAUCAAGACUUGGAUCAUUUUCCCACCACUCACACCAUUUGUUUGUUUUUGUGUAUGCUAGAUAAUUAGACAUGCCUCUUAGACGUGUGAAUGUGAGAGCUAGCGCUCAAUAGGAUGGUACAUCCUCUGCACCUCCUGUGCCGCCGUGUAGGGUAAACAUUCCUGAUGAGAGUGUAAACCCUCUGAUGGAAGCAACAUUAGGAGUGUUUCAGCGGAUUGCUAGUGCUAACCCUGCUCCUGCACUUGCAAACCUGCACCUGUGAAUCGCGGGUUAACGUUUGAACGUCUUCGAGCAUGGGGUGGUAAAAUGUUUUCUAGGGUUAAAAGGACCGAUCUGAUCGUAGCUGAGUACUGGUUGGAAGGAGUAGGGAGGAUCCUCAAGUAGAUGUCCUGUUCUAACAAUGAGAAGUUGGGUUGCGCAGUGUCCUUACUUGACGGUAAGGCUCAUCGUUGGUGGAAUACAGUUAAGAAGGGUACAACAGCUGAUCGUUGACUUGGGGCUAUUUCCUAGAGGCUUUUAAGUGAAAGUUAAGAGGUUUUUAAGUAACUAACAUCGACUUCCGAGCGUUGAUCUAAGAGCAGCCUGAUAUCUAUGAGCUGCUCGGGUAGUCCUACAUAACUCAAUCUAUGGUUCUACUCGUACAAGUGUUGUGCUAGUUCGAACGUAUAAUAAAUAAACAACGUUUAUUAUACAAACUACAUAUUUAUUAAGAAAUAAUUUAUUAUACAAACAUGUAUGGGUCGUUCACUUAGGGACAUCUUAUCCGAUUCUGUCUCCCGACACAACUCCCGGUACAACAUAGCCAAUUACUGUUGGAGGAAAGCAUGUCCAGUGCGCUUAGAGGUGUUCAUGGGUCGGGCCCAACCAAAAUUUUAGGCCCAUUUGCUAGGUUUGACUAGGCCCAAAAAAUAGGCCUAAAAUUUUUUCCAAGCUCAACCCGGAUAAAAAAGCUAAAACCCAGGCUCGCCCCACCCGUAUUAAUUUUUUAUAUAAUUUUUUUAAAAAAUAUAAUACAUAAAAAAUACUAAAAACAUUAAAAUAAAUGUUUCUCAACAAAUUAAAAAUAAAUUAAAAAAAUAUGUAUACUUAAAUAACAUAUUAAUAUAGGUGCAACUUAACAAGCAAAUGCCUCUAUAAUAGUAACAAAAUUAAUAAUAAAAUAAGAUUUAUAUAAUAUCCAAACAAUAACAACAAAAUAGUAAAACAUAAUACUGAAAUGAUAGAACAUAAUAGUGAAAUGGUAGCAAAAUAGUAAAAAAGAAAAAGAAAAUAGCAAAAAACAGUAAAAAAAAGCAGGAAAAUAGUAAAAAGAUAGUAGUUUUUUUUUUGCAUAUUCGGGCCAGGGUCAAGACAAAAAAGCCUUGCUUGAGGGCCGGCCCAUCACGUUUUCUAAAUGAACCUUUUUUUUUUACCCAAUCUCAUUUUUAAAGCCUAUAUUUUUACCUAAAUUCUCCUACUUUUAGGGCGGAUCUUCGGGCCGAGCCGGACAUAAACAAGUUUAGACGUGUUUUUUCCCUCCAAAAACGAUUUAUUUUUCUAAAUUAUAAAAAAAAAAAACCCUAAAGGGAACCACUAUAUAAAGGCAAGUUUUAACACCUUAAGCCUACAUCAUACUUUAUCUGCUCGGCGGCCUCGUCUGAUGUCCACGCAAUUCAUUCCUCUUUCUUCUUAUCUUUCAUAUCUUAUAUAUUUCAAUACCGUACUACUAAUCUUUCAUAUUUCACAUUCUGCCAGUCUAAUAUUCUACGCAUCAACAAUCCAUGCAAUCGCAUCCUAUAGCUUAAUACUUCUCUUCUUCUUUUUUUUUCUUUCUAUAAUCUUUUGUCAUCUGAGAGAAUGAUUUUCAGAUGCUGUAGAUUUUUCUCCUUUAUUUGUUUCAUUAUGAAAAAAAGAAAACUAUUUUCUCCUAGCUGAUUUGCUAUGGAACUACUGAUUGUUUUUUUUAGUUUGCAAAUGGUAAGAGUGAUGUGCAGAUCGGCUCCAUAUCAGAGUCAACAGCAGGUGCCAGUCCAUGGCCGAUCUGACUGCCGCUUGGAGCCAAUAUUUAGUUAAAGGGGUAAAGACCCGUGAAACUCACAGUUGUUUCAUGACACAAUAACCCCUUCACAUUUGUUUAUUGCCUUUUAAAUUCAUGGUCUAGCAUUUGAUGGUGUUGUUGAAGUGGGGCAUAGAGUCAGACACGGGUGUUUGUUUGUUUACAAUAGCAAUCCACCUUUUGCAUUGUGCCUAAACCAAAGCUACUUACACGAUUGGAUGGAGCCUUUGCCUUCAUGCUUUCCUUCAAAUUUAAAGCAGCUAAAUUUUUAUUUUAUAUUUUAAUGAUUUUAACCAUGUAUUACUUCUGUUGUGAAAAAUAAUUUGAGCCUAAUGCUGUCAUGCAUGGUGGAUUGGUUGAUGGGCAUUGCAAGGAAAAGUAUUUGGAAUAUCAUCGUUUAUAAUAUUGUUAUCUACAGCUUUAGAAAUCACUCCUCCCUUGUUUAAUGUACAGAUACACACAUAUAAUAAGGAAUGGAUGAUUUCUAAAGCUUUAGAUUGCUUUAUCAUGACGAGGAAGCAAGGCACCGAGUUCAAUAUUGUCAUGUAUGGUGAAAAUAUCAUAAUUUAUAAUACUGUUAUCUACAGCUUUAGAAUUUAUCCUCUUCUUGGAUGUGUAAAUAUAUAAAUAAAUUGAAACAAAUUGUUAGGAAGAGAUGAUUUCUAAAGCUAUAGAUAACGUUAUUACAAUGAGAAAGCAAGGUCAACUAUAGUGGACUGGUUGAUGCAGAUUGCAAGGAUGUUGUUGGCAAUAUUGUUAUCUACGGCUUCAGAAACCAUCCCUUUCUUGCUUAAUUUAUGGAAUCUGUAAUAUACAGAUUGACACACCUAGUAAUAAAGGGAUGAUUUCUGAAAUUUUAGUAACUUUAUCAGGAAUGUUGUUGCAAGGCAGGUGUGGUCGUGGGUGAGAAAUCAUCAUCCCCUUUUGAUUUGGUUUAGCAUUGUUGUGUUCGCUAAUUGAAGAUUGCAGACUCAUUUUCUCGUGAAAUUUUGGCUUAUAUCAUGUAAUACAAAUCACAAAGUGUAUCUUGAUUUGUUUUUACCAAUUGUAUACAUUUAAUGUAGGAUUUUGUAAGCAUUUAAAUUUGGUUUCAAUGUUGAAUUUAGUAUUUAAUUUUUUCUUCUCAAUUUGGUAUUUAAGUUUGUUUUCAAUGUUCAAUAUGGUAUCUAGAUCAAAUGAUGGCCUUUUGACCCAAAUAAUGUGAAAAACUAAUUAUUAAUCAAAAUAGGCACCACACCAAUUAUUUAUUAAAAUAGGCAAAAUCCAUUUUACCUUGUCGAUGCUGCCACUGAUUUUAAGAAAAAAAAAGUAAUGGGCUCUCAACGUGUCAAGCAGCAUCGAAAAUUUUAUUUUAUUUUUACCCGGUCAAAAGAAAAAAAUGAUCACUUUUACCUUUUUUUAUGGGUGCAAGGGUUGAUCAAAUAGCGUUGAGAUGGGCAACUAAAGACAAUUUUUUGUUGUUGCAAUGUAUAAAAAUUUAUUCAGUAUUGAAUAAGAGAAUCGAUCUAUGUCUUGGGAGAUGAUUUGGAAAUUAAAAUCACCAUAGUGUGUACGGGUUUUUAUUUGGCUUUCUUGGCAGAACAAACUAUUAACCAAUGGAGAGCGUAUUAGGUGUCACAUGACGAACGAGGGCCAUUUCCCUAUAUGUGAUUGUGCAUUCGAAUUUUCCAUUCAUGCCAUUCAAGAUUGCACUUUUCCUAAAGUCGUUUGACUUUUUUUAUUCCAAAUAUAAUUAGGGAGUCUAUCACACUCGAAUCUCCUAAGGACCCAAACUCAAAGAAGAGUUAGGGAGCCGAUUGUAUAGAAAUAGAAAUUUGCGGGCUCUAAUGAGAUAUUUAGAAGUUUAAGUGGCUAGUUGGAAAUUAUUAGAUUUCAAUACUGGUUUAGUUAGAUUGAAACCGACUGGUUUCAUAGUUGGAGACAAAAUGAUUAGGAUUGAGUGGUGGUAUUGGCCUUUGAAGGUCGUGCCAAAGGAGUAUAUAUAUAGGUGUGUGUGGGAAAUAAAAUUCUUCUUAAUUAUGUUUACCAAUUUUUCCCUCUAAAGUAUCAUCUUCUUUAGUCGUUCUGAAGAAGAAAAGGAUGCAGCUGAAGGAAGCUCUACAUGUUGUAGUCGUUGUAUGAUUUGAAGUCUAGAAGUAGAGAAAUUGAGUAACUGGUAAGUUUCAUUAUCCUUCUGAACUUGUGGAUUAAAAGAAUGAGUAGAAUAAGGAUUUUCAAAGUUUCUGUAUAAUUAUGGAUUCCUGGUUUUAAGGUUUGAAUACCUUCGAGUUAACCAAUAAGCGGUUGUUAUGGUUAGCUGUCAAGACAAAGGAGGCUUUGGUGUUUGGACAAGCUAAACUGUCAAGGAUAAGAAAGCGAGGUGAGUUUUUGUACCUUACCUUUAAGAUGAUAGAUGAUGUUAUGUAACUUGCAUGUAUCACGUUAAUGAUGUACUAAGGUACCUUCAAGAUGAUGUCAUGUGACUUGUAUGAAUCACGUUAAUGAUGUAAUAAGGUUGCCUAAGUUAUGGUGUGUAUGUGCUUGAAGAAAAAGUAGUCUAUGUGUGUGCACAAUACUAUGUAAGCUCUUGUCAAUUGGCUGGUGGUUGUUUUAUGGUAGAUAGUUGAUGAUAGGAAAAAUGGCGUGAUGUAUGUUUAAUGAUGAAUUGUAUGAUAUGUUUGAGUAAUAUAUGCGUCCUGUGGAGGGAAAUUAUCGACGGGUUAGAUGAAGUUAGGAUUGAGAAAGGGUGAACCUGUAUACUACUUUACGAUGUUGCUAGAUGUAAACUAUGAUAUGCGAAGCUCUAGGCCUUGCAGAUGGAACACUACAGUGUUCAAGCAUCAAGGUAAAAUUUGUGAAUAGGAGGUAUGGACGGAUGAAUAUGGAAAUAUAAUUACGUUAAGAUACCGCCAUACGAGGUUUUUGACUGCAAAACAUGAUGUGCGAAGCUCUGAGCCUUGCAGAGGGGACGCUUUGGUGUUUGAACAUCAAGGUUAAAUAAGAAAUGGAAGUAUAUCAACUGGUCCUUUGGGACGACACCGUGACAACGAUAAUCAGGUUCCAUAUAGCAACACCACGACGACGACCGGUAGGCUCUAUGGGGUGACAGCGCAAUGAUGCUAAGGUAUUUUGGGGCGACAACUCAAAGAGGUAUAACGUGUAAGACCAUAGCUCAACUAUUGUAACACCCUCAACCUGAUCCGAUUCACUGGAUCUGAAUCUCGAGUGUUACCACACGAAUAUAGACAUAAGUUUAAAUUAUUAUCACAAACCACGAUUAUUUACAAAUUCGAUUGGUCACAUAAACAACAAUGACAUAAACAAAGACAAGCAAAGUAAUUUAAUUACAAAAGUUAUCAUCUAAUAUCAUAACUUAUUACAUUUAUUCUAAGUAUAGACUUCUAUGUAGAACUACUGAUUUUUAAUAAGACAUCGAGCUUGCUCUGUAUGCAUAAAAACCUAAUGCGUCAUUCCAUUAGCGUGGUUCUGGCAUCAUCCCUCCUAGCACAGACUCUUAUCAACAAACUUGAAACAUAAUAUGAAACAAAAAUAAGUUCUCAAGAACUUAGUGAGAAAAAUACCCCUUUUCCCUUAGUUGAUACUUGAAUAAGAAAGUCGAUGAUUCAUUAUAACAAUCUUGUUGUUCUUAAACUCUUGAUCAUACUUUUGGUUAGUACUUUCCAAUCUUAGACCUUUACAUAUAAGUUAACUAACUUGCCUUGAUCUGUACCCAUUUCCAUUCCUCAAUUGUUGAUUUCAAACCUUCACUUAUAUCCUUCAAUCUUAACAUUAAUAUAUCUAUGCCAAUUUCUUUCAAAGACCAAUGCAACCAGAAUAUCAUUUCAUAUGUGUACUUAACCUAGAAUCAUCGAACAAUUACUUUUCAUAAUGAGCACAUACUGUAACGACCUGGAAGUCAGUGGUGUUGAAAAGUGUGGUUUCAAAACCCUGAUUCCUUAUAUGAUACUCGUAAAUAUUUUUAUUAAAUAUUUAUAGAGUUAUGUUAAAAGUGAAUUAAAUUUCGAUUGGGUAAUUGUAUCAAAUUAGGGCUUUUUUAGCAUAAAAGAACUAAAUAGCUAAGGAACUAAAAAAGUAAUUAUACCUUUUUUUAAAUUGUAAUGGACAAUAAAGAGAUAUAUAAUUUAUAUAUAUAAGUUAUAUAUGUUAUAUUAGUAUUAAUAUAUGUUAAAUAAAAUCAUAUUAAAAUAAAAUAAAUAAUGAAAUAUUAUGUAAGUGGAUAGUAAGAAAAGUCAUUUUCCCUUUUUAUUUUUCUUCAUUUCGAAACCAAGGUGAAAGGGGGAGAAGCACCCAAAGCCUGGGCUCUGUCACACGGCCUGGCCACAUGACCGUGUGACUUCUAUUUUGAAAUUUUUUUACAUUUUUUUAUUUCAAACUAGUCCCUGAUUGUUUCCAAAUUAAUUUUUAGGUUCUAUAAGCUCGAUAUAAAGCCCGUAUUUACAUAUAUGUUAUGAAUGAUGAUUGGACUUGAAUAUUUGAUAUUUAAAGUAAUUAUUGAAUGGUUUAUGUUGAUAUUUGACUUGUUAAAUGUUGUAAUACUCUGGAACCCUAAAUUUAGUGACGGAGAUGGGUUAGGGGUGUUACAUUUAGUGGUACCAGAGCUAUAUGUUUAGUCGAUUCUUAGACUAAAUCAAGCUCAGAAUCGAGUGUAGAGGAAAAUGCCAAAGUUGAUUCGAGUUAGAGUCGAGGUUGGGAUGUUAGAAUUAGUUGUUUUUGUUUUAUAACUAAAAGAUGUCAGGAGAAUAAAAUAAUGAAGUUAAUAAAAAGAUUCAUAUUAGUGAUAAUUCUACUGAAAAUUUAAACAGAGUUGAUUCGGUGGCACCGAGUGUUUGUUCAAUUGUUGCUCAACAACCUAACGUUGACAGAGGUAAUAACGAGGGCCAAGGUGAUUUGAAUUUACUUUGUUCUAUAGUUGAAACUCUUUAGAGGGUAGCAGGAGUUACUCCUGUCAUUGUACAUGUACCUAUUGUUCGACGAGCUCUGAUUAAGGAAUUAUAGAGAUACAGUGCUACUCAAUUUUUGGGUUUGAAAGGGGUUGAUCCCCCAACUGCCGAAGUUUGGUUGGAAUCGACUAAACGUGUUUCGCAACAACUCAAGUGCACCCCCAAGAAUGUGUAAUUUGUGUUGCUUCUCUACUGCAAGGAGAAGCGUAUAUGUGGUGGCAGACGGUAACAUGCUACGUACUGGCUAAGCGAGCUAACUGACAGUUGUAUCUUAAGGAUAGGAAACAAGAAUUUUCGCUAUUGAAACAGAGUGAGAUGUCAAUGGUUGAUUAAGAACGUGAGUUUUCACUACUUAGUAAAUAUGCUAUAGAAUUUGUGUCGUCUGAAGUUAAAAUUUGUAAACAAUUUCUACGUGGUUUAUACGAUGAACUCAGAGUACAACUUCUAUCAUAUCGAAUUUCAGACUUUGCUGAUUUAGUCGAGCGAGCAAAAAUGGUGGAGCAAGCUUUGGGUCUCGAUAAAGAGAUUAAGACUACAAUAGCUGGUAGAAAACGAGCGGGAACUGUUAGUUCGCAUCCACAAUCAAAGUGAACUAAAUAUUCUCGUGGUAAUUAGAUAUCAACUUUUAAGUUUGAUAGAUCUGAUAGAAAUCGAGAUCGGCAACCAACUAUGUUUGCAGACAGUGUGCGAGGUCCGUCCUGAGAUGUUAAGAUAACGAAUAAUAAGCACUGUGAGAAGAAGCAUUGAAGUAAAUGUUGGAAAUUGACUCGAGCCUAUUUUCGUUAUGGAUCGUUGGAGCAUUUUGCUCGAGAGUGCUUGAGAAGUGAUAAUGUUACUCAUGCUACUACUUAGAAAUCUACGCCUGCAGCUAGGGGUCAUGGAAUUAGUCGUGAUGGUUCUGUUUCUAGAAGUGGUGCAAGAAAGGGGAAUGAUGCAGUUACACAUCAGUUAGAGGCCAGAACACCGACACAAGCAUACAUUGUACAUACUUGCUUUUUAUUAUAUUCUGCGCAUGUUUUUGCUUUGAUAGACCCUGGAUCUUCAUACUUUUAUGUUAAUUCUGAAUUGGUCAAAUCAGGAAGUUUAAAAUCUGAUACGUCUAAAGUAUCCAUGGUUGUGUCAAGUCCUUUGGGGUAGUCAGUGUUAGUCGAUCGAGUACGUAGGCAGUGUCAGGUAGAAAUUCAAAACGUAUAUUUUCCUUUUGAUUUGUUGAUUAUGUCAUUCAACGACUUUGAUUUGAUUUUGGGCAUGGAUUGGCUCACUGAGCAUGGAGUGAUUUUAGAUUGUCGUAAAAAGAAGUUUGUGGCUCAGUGUAUUGACGGUAGUUUGAUUGAGGUGAAUGGUGUCCAAACUAGUAGUUCAACUCAUAUCAUUUCAGUUGUUCGAGAUAAUAAACUCCUCAAUCAAGGCUGUAAAGCUUUUCUGGCAUAUGUCAUUAACUCAAAAGCUAGUGAUAGUCAAAUCAACAAUAUUCAAGCUGUUUGCGAAUUCCCUGAUGUGUUUCUCGAGGAAUUUUCGAGAUUACCACCUGAUUGGGAGGUUGAUUUUGCAAUUGAGGUGUUUUUUGGUACAACUCCGGUGCCAAUAUUCUCUUAUCGUAUGGCACCGAUAGAGCUAAAAGAAUUAAAAGUUUAGUUGCAAGCUUUACUGGACCGAGGCUAUAUACGCCCUAGUAUAUCGGCCUAGGGAGCUCCAAUAUUGUUUGUUGAAAAGAAAGAUGGUUCGAUGUGACUUUGUAUAGAUUUUCAAGAACUGAAUAAGUUGACAAUCAAGAAUUGAUACCCUCUACCUCAUAUCGAUGACUUGUUUGAUCAGUUGAAAAGAGCUUGUCUUUUCCAAGAUUGACUUGAAAUCGAGUUACUAUCAAUUGAAAGUAAAAGAUAGUGACGUGCUUAAAACGGUGUUUCGUACACGUUAUGGCCAUUAUGAAUUCUUGGUAAUACCUUUUGACUUAACAAAUGCUCCGGUGGCAUUCAUGGAUCUCAUGAACCAUAUUUUCUAACCCUAUUUGGAUCAAUUUGUGGUAGUUUUCAUCGACAACAUUUUGAUUUAUUCAAAAAUUGAAGCGAAGCACGAACAACAUCUCUGAAUUGUUUUGCAAGUGUUGCAAGAAAAGUAGCCAUACGGGAAGCUCAACAAAUGCAAAUUGUAGUUAUCGGAGGUUGUGUUUUUGGGGUAUGUUAUCUCGGCUAAUGGGAUUCAAGUUAAUUCAAAGAAAAUGAAGGCCAUUGUUCAAUGGAAAGCACCGAGGAAUGUGUCAAAAGUUUGCAAUUUUCUUGGUUUAGCUAGUUACUAUCGAAGAUUUGUAAACUUUUUUUUGAAAAUAGCUAUGUCGAUGACAAAGAUUUUACAAAAGUAGGUUCAAUUAGUUUGGAACGAUCAAUGCCAAGAAAUUUUUGAGAAAUUGAAAUAGAUGUUGACUAAGGUGCCAGUUCUAACUUUGCCUACAUCGAGGAAAGACUUCGUGCUAUAUAGUGAUGAUUCUCUUAAUGGUUUGGGCUGCAUUUUGAUGCAAGAAGGGAAAGUGAUUGUGUAUGCAUCUUGCUAGCUAAAAAUGCAUGAACGCAACUAUUCGACGCAUGAUUUAGAGUUAGCCAUUAUGGUUUUCACUUAAAUAUCUAGAGGCACUACCUAUACAGUUAAAAGUGUCAUAUUUAUACCAAUCAUAAAAGUCUUAAAUACCUCAUAACCUAAAAGAAGUUGAAUUUAAGAUAGUGUCGUUGGGUUGAACUUUUGAAAGAUUAUGAUUGUGUUAUCAAUUACCACCCUAGUAAAGCUAAUGUUGUAGCUGACGCGUUGAGUAGAAAAGUAGCAGUUGAAUUGUGGGCAAUGUUCGCUCAACUCAGUACUUACGAUGAUGGCAAUUUGUUGGCCGAAUUGAAAGUCAAACCAAUGUUGUUUGAUCAAUUCAAGGAAGCAUAGGUUGUUGAUGCUAAAUUGUCGAGAAAAAGAGAUAUGGUUCAAAAUGGUUCGAUAGAAAACUUCAGUAUUGAUGAUUGUGAUUGUUUGAGGUUCCGUAAUCGAAUCUGUGUUCCAGAUGUUGUUGAAUUAAAAUAAUUAAAACUUCGCAAAGCUCAUGAUAACCCUUUUUUUUUGCACCCUAGUGGAACAAAAAUGUAUCGCAGGUUAUGGGAAUUUUAUUGGUGGCCUGGAAUGAAAAGCAAGAUAGUUGAAUUUGUGGCUAAAUGCCUAACUUAUCGACUUGUUCAAAUGAAACAUCAAGUUUCCCACCAGAUUACUUCAGUCUAUCUUGAUUCCUGAAUGGAAAUGGGAGUGCAUAACGAUGGAUUUCGUAACAGGGUUACUGUUAUCACCAAACAAGAAAAUUGUUGUUUGGGUGAUAGUCAAUCGACUUAUGAAAGCAGCCCAUUUUAUUGUUGUUAGAACCGAUUGGUCACUUUCGAAACUUACCGAGGUUUAAACUCAGGAAAUUGUCAUAUUACACGACAUACCUAUGUCGAUUUUUCUCUGAUUGGGACCCCUAGUUCAUUUUAUGGUCUUGGAAAUAGUUGCAUGAAUCUCUUGGUAUGAGACUCAACCUUAGCACAACUUUUCAUUCGCGAACUGACGGAUAAUCUAAGUGUGUUAUUUAGAUUUUGGAAGAUAUGCUUCGAGCUACGUAAUUGAUUUUGAAUCAGGUUGGUAAUGAUAUUUACCUUUGGCCAAAUUUGUGUAAAAUAAUAGUUUCCAAUUGAGCAUCCAAAUGGCUCCGUAUGAAGCUUUAUACGAUCGUAAGUGUCAAACACCUUUUGCUAGUCAGAGCUGUAUGAAAGAAAAGUAGUUGACCCAGAAUUUAUCUGAGAAAUGAAGGAUAUAGUUAAGUUAAUCCAGGAUAGAUUGAGAAUAGCUUUUGACAAACAAAAAUUGUACACGGAAUUGAAACGUCGAGAUAUCGAGUUUGCUUUGUAUGAAAAAAUGUUUUUAAAGGUUUCACCAUGGAAGAGAGUCCUUCGAUUCUAUCAAAAAGGGAAGUUGAGUCCUUGUUUUAUUGGACCUUAUGAAAUCACGGAAAGGAUUGGGCCAGUUUCUUAUCAUUUGGUUUUGCCAGUAGAGUUGCAGAAAAUACACGAUGUUUUUCAUGUUUCGAUGCUCAUGAGAUAUCGUUCAAAUCUGUCUCACGUUAUUUCGAUGGAAGAAAUUAAAAUUCAGCCUCAUAUGUCUUACGAGGAUGAGCAGAUUAAAAUUUUAGCUCGUGAGGUGAAAGAAUUGCAAAACAAACAUGUUCCACUCGUGAAAGUUCUAUGGCUUAGUCAUAGUAUCGAAGAUGCGACUUGGGAGUUGGAAGAGUCGAUGAUAUCACAGUAUCCCCACCUAUUUUUAGGUAAAUUUCGGGAAAGUGUGAUUUCGGAACCCUGAUUCCUUAUCCGAGACUCAUAAAUACUUUUAUUAAAUAUUGAUAGAGUUAUGUUAGAAGUGAAUUAAAUUUCGAUUGGGUAAUUGUAUCGAAUUAAGGCUUAUUUAGUGUAUAGGAACUAAAUCGCAUAAGUAUAAAAGUGUGAUUUAUUAUUAAAUUAUAAGGUAAAAUAUAGCUAAGGAACCUAAAAAGCAAUUAUACCUUUGUUUUUAAUUGUAGUGGGUGGUCAAGAGAUAUAUAAUUUAUAUAUAUAAGUUAUAUUAGUAUUAAUAUGUGUUAAAUAAAAUCAUAUUAAAAUAAAAUAAAUAAUGAAUAUUUUGUAAGUGGAUAGUAAGAGAAGGCAUUUUCUGUAACACCCUUAACCCAUAUCCGUUGCCGGAGCAGGGUUACAGAGCAUUAUCAAAUUUCACAGAUCAAAUACAGUUAAUUCAUAUCAUUUACUAUUUAUAUUUGAAUUUAAACAUAUUCACUCAUGUUGUCCCUUAAAUGGGCCUUCGAGGCCCAAAAUAUGAGUUAGAAAUAAGUCGGGACUAAACCGGGAACUUAGAGAAUUUUCGCGACAUUUUAAAACUUUUCUUAGGUGAGGGGACACACACCCGUGUGGCUAGGCCGUGUGGCUCACACGGCCAAGUGACACGCCCGUGUCCCAGGCCGUAUGGGCAUUCGAUGUGAGUCACGACCAUGUCCCAGCCCGUGCCCAUACCUGUGUAACUCUCUAACUUGGGUCAUACGGCCAAGCCACACACUAGUGUGCUAGGCUGUGUGGACAAUUUAAUUUUCAAUAAUUAGGUGCAGGGGACACACGGCCAAGACACAUGCCUAUGUGCUAGGCCGUGUGUCACACACGGUUGAGACGCACACUCGUGUCUCUACCCGUGUGGACAAAAUAAGGCCAUUUCCAAGCCUUAUUUCUCACCCAAACUUGUCUUCCACCUACUUCAACAUUUUAACACAUUCACCAACCAAUUCAAGACAUUUAAACCAAGCCAAUACCAAGUCUUAAACUUGACAUCUUACACAUACAAUCAAUGUGCCCUUAGGCUCCCCAAUAGACAAUUUAUUAUUAUGUCAUUCCAAAACUUAUACUUACCUAAAUACCAAAUGCAUAUAUGCAUAAUCAAAUUCAUACCUCAAACAUGAUAAUACCAUAUAUAUAUAUAUCAAAACAUGAUUAUUACAAGUCAUUCCAAUAGCUAUUUACAACCAAAACAUUUGUAUGCCAGCAUUUGACCAAUAUAACAUAUACAUGCCAUUAUAUCCUAAUUAAAGUUUGUUAUUUAUACCAAAAAGAGCUGAAGGUUAGUGUGAUCUUGCUCUGACCCACUCCAAUCUCUAUGAGCUCCCGAGUACUAUAAAAUAGAAAAAAUAAAAUAGAGUAAGCAUUUAAUACUUAGUAAGUUCGUAUAACGGGAAAUUAACUUACCAUUCAUAUUCAUUUAAAAUAAGCAUACAAAGUACAGCCAAAUCAAUUUAAUCAAUAACUUAACACAUAUACAUCCUCAAGCAAGUUAGUCAUGUAUUUCAAAUGCAUUUCAAGUAACAGAGAUGAGCUCAUCAUAUAAACAUUUCCAUAUAUUUUCAGGUAGAUAUAAUUAUUAAUUCAUUCAGACAUUAUCUUAACUUAUAUCGGAACUUUUCCCGUUGAACCUUAUGAAAUAUCGAUGGACAUCGGGUAGUACACAUGAAGUGUACGAAUCUGUAAUUCGUCAAUUCAUAUUCAGGAGUGUUCAUAAGAACACUUAAAUGGGAAGCACUCUCUCAAGCCAUAUAACGGGAUGCUUAUCCGGGCUUUAUAAUGUGAAGCUCAUAAGCGCCUAAAUCAGGAAGCUCAUGCGAGCCAAUAUCGGGUAGCUCCAAAGAGCCAUUAACAGGAAGCUCCGGAUAGCUUAAUAUCAGGAAGUUCAAGCGAGCCUUAUUAAGAAGCUCACAAAGAGCCAAUUAACGAAGAGCCAUAAUCGGGAUGCUUCGAAAAGCUAUUAACGGGAAGCUCGCAAGAACCAUAUAACUGGAAACUCGAUAGGGCUAAUAACGGGAUGCUCUUUCGAGCUGUGGUGUGUACGCAACAUAUGCAUGACUACAACCAAUACAGGAAACUUGUAUCCAUCGAUUUUCAUUUGUUUAAACGGGACUUAACAUUUAUCGGGCAUUAUCGAAUAUUUAAUCAAUUUCAUAUACAUGACAAUUAUACAAUUCACAUAUAUAAAAUUUAAUUCAAACAUAUAAAUGUACACAAUUUAGUUACACAAACUUACCUCGACACUUGUUCGUAUACAAGAAUCUACUAAUCCGAUACUUUUUGUUUUCCUCAAUCCAAUUCCGUACUAGAUCUAUCCAGAUCUAUACGAGUAAAUUUAACUCAAUUUAAUACAAUUCAUAUUCAAUUCAAUCCAAUCCAAUUCAUAUUUUAGGCAAUAGUACUAUUUUACCCCUAUACUUUUAACUAAUUCCAAUUUCAUCCCUAGGUUCGGAAAAUGAAAUUCAUGCAAUUUAAUCAUUAUUCCAAGCCUAUUCAAAUUUUUCAUAUAACAGUAACAGUCCAUGUAUUUCAAAAAAAAAUCAAAAAUUUUCCAUUAAUUUUACAUAUUUUCAAUUUAGCCCCUAAAUCACAAUUUCAUGAAAAUUUCCUUUACAAAAAUUGUUUAUCUAUCAACAACCUUUCAUUUUCUACCAUAAAUUUCAAAAUUUCAGCAUACUCAUCCAUAGAAAAAUUUUAAUACUUUGAUAGCUUUGCAAAUUAAUCCCCAAAAUAGCUAAAUUAGGUUAUUACGAUCUCGAAAAUAUAAAAAUUACUAAAAACGGGACAAGAAUGCUUACCCAAUUAAGCUUGAUUGAAUUCUUUUCUCUUAGCUAGAGUUUCCAUGAAAAUAAUUUGGGGAAGAUGAUAAAAUAAGAUGAUAUUUUACCUUUUAAUUAAUUACCAUCUUUUAUUAUUUCCACUUUCCUAUUUAGUCCUUUUCUUUUCUUAAAUUUCCAUGGAUGAAUCAUCAUAAUUAUCUACUAACUUCUCUUAAUGGUCAUUUUCCUUAUAAGAACCUCAAAUUUUGAAUUCCAUAGCUAUUUAAUCCCUCUAGCUAUUAGAAUUUAACUUUUGAAGUUUAUGCAAUUUGGUCCUUUCUAGCAAUUAAACUUGAAAUCGGUAAGAUUUUCAUAACGCAAUUUUCAUAUGUCAUUCCUAUCAUAAUGCAGACCAUGCAAUAAUAUUAAAAUAAUUUUUUCUUUCUGACUCAGAUUUAUGGUCUCGAAACCACUGUUCCGAUUUCACUAAAAACGGGUUGGUACAUUUUUUCUUUUUCUUUUUCUUCAUUUUGAAACCAAGGUGAAAGUGGGAGAAACACGCACGGCUUGGUCACACGGCCGUGUGACCCCUGUUUUGAAAUUUUUCUACGUUUUUCUAUUUUAUUUCAAACUAGUCCUUGAUUGCUUUCAAAUUGAUUUUUAGGUUUUGUAAGCUCGAUAUAAAGCUUGUAUUUACAUAUUUACUAUGAAUGAUGAUUGAAUUUGAAUAUUUGAUAUUUAAAGUAAUAUUUGAAUGGUUUGUUUUGAUAUUUGACUUGUUAAAUGUUGUAAUACUUUGUAACCCUAAAUCUAGCGAUGGAGACAGGUUAGGGGUGUUAACAUAUACAAUUGGUCAAAACAGUCUUCGAUCAUUCAGAUUCGAACAUUUAUUCAGGACAACUUCUCAUACUAAUCCAUUACUUCUCUAUAUCUCUUCAAUUCAUUAUCUUCAGUCAAAUUUUAGCUUUACAUGAUAGUUACCAUGUAACUGAUAGACACUUUAUAUGACACUGACUUUAUUGAGUAUUUUAAAGAAUCAUAUAGAACACACCUCAGAACUCCUUACAGGACACACCACAAUAGCAUUCCAAUCAGAACAUGCCACAAAGGCUAUUCUUUUAGAGUAUUCCACAAAUGUUAUUCUUUUAGAGUAUGCCACAAAAGCUAUUCUUUCAUAGUACGCCAUAAAGAUUAUUCUUUCAUAGUACACCACAAAGGUUAUUCUUUCAGAGAACACCAUAAAGGCUAUUCUUUUAAAAUACGCCACAAAAGUUAUUUCUUAGCUGUCGUGUUUACGAUAUGGAUUUUCCUGAACUCAUAUUAUGUGAGAUUUUCCCAUCAUCAACCUGGGACACUCAGAGAACCUCAUUGGGUAAUCACCUUUCAUUAGUUCAUUUUUAGAGAGUGCCAUGGCCAUGGACUUUUCCUUCAGAGUUCGUGUUUUCUGUCCCGGUGGACUUCAUCAGAUACCACAUCGGUGACCAGACACAGAUCCACUUUACAAACUCUUCAUGCACUGACACAAUCUAAGCCCAACACCUUGAUUCCCUAACUUACACCCUAAAGAACACACAUCUCAGAGCAUAAAUUCCAAACAGACAUAUACAACCAUACUUCAACAUCGUAGUACUCAUACACCACUCAUUACAUAAUUGAAUUUAAUAGAUUUCAUACCAAAUAUACAUAUUAUCCUCAGCAAACAUUCACACACUUAUAGAUUUUUUUUAAUAAUCAUUCAUAUAGUCGCAUGCAUAUCAUAUUCAUACUAUAUUUUUCAUGGUUUCAGAUUCAUAGUUUGAUAAUUUUUCUUAUGGAUAUGCUUUGGUAUAAACAAUAUACAUGCAGGAGUCAGCAUAAGAACUCACCUAAUUCUCGCCUACUGUAGUUCAAAGACUCCAAUUCCAGAUAUCCAUUUCAAACCAGCAACAACCACUACUUAAAAACAUAGUUUCACUAUUACUACUCUUGUACAUAGAGAUUACUUAUCAUGUCAAUCAUUGAUAAUCUUAUGUAGAAACCUUAUACUCACAGUCUUACUGCUCAAGUACCAAAUACAGUUUUACUCCUUCAAAGCUUAACAUACAGAGCUAAAAUACUUACCUUGAUGCAAAGCAGCUAGCGAUUAUCAAAGAACCAUGGCCUCUAGAUCAUCGAUGUAGGAUACAUUUAGACUUAAGAAAGGUUUCAGUAAAUAUCACUUAAGGAAGAAGAAAAAAGAACCCCCCAUUCAGAACUCAUCUCUUAUAUAUAUAAAUUAACUUACUUAGUGGAAUUUAACAAGUGUCAUGUGUUUCAAAACUUGCCUUCUUAAUGGUCUGUAGUUCUCGAGAGAAAUAUUAAUAAAUACCUUGAAAUCACCAUUACCCAGAUUGGCUAUCUUGUUGAUUUCUAACCAAGUUACUUAAAUUCUAACUAGCACAAGAUUCCAGGAAAAUCAAGCGUACUAUACCUUUGGCGAAUACUUAUUUUAUACUUACCAUUUAUCUCAUAACACUAACUUUUCAUUAAUAUUGCAAUAUUAGGAAAUCAAAUUCUUACUUUCUUAUGUGGCAGAUACUAUACGCCCACACGUAUACGCCAAAACAAUCAUUUGGGCGGCUAACACUAUGUCAGACAAACUAUUUACAGUUAUACAUCGAAACUUUAGACCCACCAGAUCUCAAGUGUUAAAGCUAUGACAACCAAUAGAGUCUGUCGAGAUAUUAAAAGCGAGGCAAUCUGUCGAGAUAGUAAACACGAGGUAGUCUGCUAGAAUAUUAAACAUGGGGUAUAGUGUGUAAGACCAUAGCUCGGCUAUGACAACAUAGAGAAUCCGUCGGGACAGUAAACACGAAGAAGUUCACCAGGACACUAAACAUGGGGUUACAAUGUGUAAGACUAUAACUCAGAUUUUGCAACCAAUAGAGUCCACUAAGACAUUUAACAUGGGUUCAGGCUAGGUAAGACCGUAGUUUGGCUAUGGUGUCAGGUGAAGUUCGCCGAAAAGGUUGGGCUAGAAAGAUGGCAAUAUAAGAAAAGAUAAAGAUCGAAAUAUGACCUACUUGGAGAGUAACACGAAAGGACAAGUACGAUACGUCUGAGAACACGGGUAAAUGAGAUAGUCCAAAGAUCUGCCAGAUUAAGAAUAUGAGUCUACAUCUUUGGGCAAGUAAACCUGAGUCGGGGUGAAAAUAAGAUGAUUAAAUGGAACAUAAAACUAAGGAUCCGCAAGUAUCUAGUGUCUAGUAAGUCUAUUGAGGUCUACGCAGAGAUAAUAGCCACCCAGACAGUCAGGUAGUGGAAGACGCUAGAACAUGCACCAAUUGAUGGGUGAGCUAAUUAGGGUUAUGUAAUGUAGAAUAAGUCAUAUGGAAGCCCGCCAAGGACUACUUGGGUGGAAUCUCUCCAAAAGGCAAUAGAGAGUAUGAAUUAAUAGGGAUUUAUCUAUUGUCAUCAAUCAUUCUGAUGACUAGGAACAGGACGAAUAGUUAGCCAAGAUUAAAUGGUAUAGUGCAAGGCUAUCUCGGUGGUAAGACAUCCCUUCAUAUGGCUUAUUCACAUAGUCAAAAUCGUGAACACAGAGCGGGUUAAGGUAAAAAGGGAAAAAUUGGAAUGCAGCGGAAUCAGGCCUACACCUUAGAGAACCAAUUCCGUAAAGAACAUAUUUAUGACUCUAAUAAAGAGUAAGUCUACCAAAGGUAGGCUACGGAAAGAAUGGAGGGCAUAACCUCGCUGGUGAAAUCUGCAAAUGGUCAAGGAUGAACUGGGAGUUGAAAUCUCUACUUAAAACAUCAUUCCUUAAAGUUCUGAAUUUUUUAUAGGGUCAUUAUGCAGAAACUCACUAAGUUCAAUUGAACUUAAAAAUUUUAUGCUUAUUUGUAGGAUAAAGUUUUCACUCGAUAAUCGAGUGGAGGGCUGUGCCAAACAACACUAGGUUGAGGGAGAGGCAUGGAUGUCAUUCAUGUGCAUAGAGAGGCUCCCUUAGAGGCAACACCUUGGGGAUCGAUACAAGUGUAACAAUCUUAUUUUAAAUUUUGGUGUUGUAAAUAUUGUUAAGUUGUGUGACUGAAGUUUAGAAGAGUUACAUUUCUUGUUAAAUUUUUUAUGUGUAAUUUAAUAGUUUAAGUAAAUUAAUUAUAAUAGACUCGUUGUCAUAAUUAUAUUAUUUGGGUCCUUGUAUCGCCUAGUACCUGAAUCUGGCAUACGGGUUUGGUCUAGGUUGCUAAAUUUAGUGGUAUUAGAGCUUCGAUUUAGUCAAUUCUCUAAACAUGAGAAGUUAAGAAAAUGCCCCUAUAAACAUGUCACGACAGGUUUGGCUUAGGAUCUCAGGUUAUUAUAAAGGAUUCAUUUAUGUUAGGAUGUUGAUGUAGCGUGUAAAUUAUGAAAGUCGGCAUUGGGCUUAUUAUAACUGAAAGGAAGGUGAGAUAUGCAAACAUAAAGGAUGAAUAAAGAAGAAGAAAUCUUCAUUAUAGAUAAUAUUUUACAAGUAUAUGGCUAUUUCAAUUUUCCCCUAGAACUGAAUUUCUUGGAGAAUCAAGGUCGGAUGCUUCCAAGCCUUGAUUAUGAAAGAGUUCUCUCGAUUCCCUCCAUUCUCUCUGCAAUUCCUCUCAGCUAGUCCUAGAGGAAUCGUAAACAUCAAAGCCAAGGUUCAUAAUGGUAAACUGGUGUAGAGAGCUAAAAUUUACUUAACUCAAGUCAAAGGGACUCGUGGCAACCUAUGCUUGGAAAAUCAAGUUUACCCUUAAUUUGGGAAGGAAAUCUUGAAUGCCCUACUAGGUGUUCACCUUGUACUUCGCCAAUGUCUCCUCAUUCUCUUUCUGGAUGCGCUUCCUAUAGGCGAGGUGAUAUUGCUCGAGGGUCUCCAACUGACGAACCUUCUCCUCCAACUCAAUUGCUCCAGUCUCUAAGGACUGGUAUUUGGUCUCCUAAGUGGAGAUAGACUCAGUGAACUCAAAAAUUUUCUAGAUAGAAGCCUCAUAUGAUUGGCAAAGCUAAGCAAGAGAUUUCUUGUUAAAGAGAACGGCCCUUUUAGACUCGGCCUACUUGGCCUCAAAUUCAGCACAAGCCUGCAGGAGGGCCUAACUCUCGAGGCCAUUCUCUACUGAUAACAUGGAAAAGGAACCCCUAGCUCUUGAAAAGUGGGUUUGUGAACGCUAGAGGAAGGGGAUGAGUGGUGGGUGAACUCCUUCAAUUCCAAGGAUAGCUCCUAGUCCAUUCGUUGUUGGACAGUAAAGAGAGAAAAAAGGAUACUAACCCGCAUAGAGAUGAUUUCGCCAGGAGAAGAAAGUUUGAACUUCCCUUGAAGGGGGAGUAUAAGUGAGGGCACCAAAAGGGGAAGUGUGGGGAGUUGAGGUGGUAGCAAGCGGGUCUAUAAUAUUGGUGAGCUCAACAAAAAGCUUGGGUAGAAUUGAAAGGGGGGACCAAAAGCGUACUGGAGAAUCAGAUGAUGGAAACAUUGUGUUGGGCAUUAACAGGGGAGCAAGGGAUCCACCCUCUAGAAAGACCGGUUGUUUUCCAAGCCUGUGGUGGGGCAACUUGUUUCCACUACUCUCCCUAACACUAAAAGACCCCCUUUCAAGUCUUAACCUCUUGCGGCUACUACUACUAGUUUGCACACUUGAUGCAAUUACAUCCAUGGUUUUUUGUGCACCCUCAAACAAAGCCUCAAUAUCCAUGACUUCAAGUUGCGAAAGGGUUUCGGGGGCAAGAGAUGAGCGGUGUAACACCCCUAACUCGUAUUCGUCGCCGGAAUAGGGUUUCAAAGCAUUACCAAAUAAACAUAACCUAAAUUAUUUAUUUAAAAACAUUUCAAUAAUCAUAACAUAAUCCAUCAUUAAACAUGCAUAUCGUCCCUUAUUCAAGCCCUCAAGGCCUUAGAAUCACUUUAGAAAUGAUUCGGGACUAAAUUGGGAACAUUUGAAAAUUUUAGGAAAAAGUUAGAGAAAUUUCAACUACAAGGUCACACGGCCGUGUGUCAAGGCCAUGUAACUCACAGGCUGAGACAUACGCCCAUGUAACUCUCUGACUUGGGUCACACGGCCAAGCCACACGCCCAUGUGCCAGGCCAUGUAACUCUCGAAAUGCCCUCGCACACCUGUGUGUCUAGCCAAGUGUCUUACAUGGCCAAGUCACACGCCUGUGUGUCUGGCCGUGUGAACCUAAAAUGUACUUUAAACAACAAGUUUACCAUUUCCUACUUGCUUGGCUAUUAAGCAACUCAAAAGCUAUUCGUUUAACUUAUUCAAAACAUGGUCAAACAUACUUAAAACACUUCAAAACAAUCAUCCUAGGUGGCUAACCAAUGUACCCUCAUUGGUACCACAUUUAUAUCAUCAAAACAUAUCAUCAAUGCAUCAUUCAAAUCAAUAUUUUAAGCAUACCAAUUCAUUCACUUUAACCUAACUUAUAACUACUUUAAAUAUCAAGCUUAAGUUCACAUACACUUCACAAGAAAUGGUUCAAACAAUAUGCCAAAUUAUGGCUUCAAACACAAACAUAAAUUUACAUACUCAAACUAACAUUACACUUAUAACUUCAUUUACAAUCUAUCCACAAAAUAACUAUCAACUAAGACUUCCUAGGUACAUGCCAUCACAAAAGGUAAACAUCACCAUAUUUGAGAUCAAGAUCGUUGUUGGAUGCUGAGUCGGCAACCAAAAGAGAAAUACCUAACCUGCGCACAGAAAACAAAAUCGUACACUAAGUAAAACUCAGUAAUAUUUCUAUAAUCUGAACAAUUAAAGACAUAAUGAUGCAAGAAUGAAUAAUUUGAAUUAUACGAACAUACUAUUGUUUAAGCUUACAAUUACCAUAUACCAUUAUUUCAAAUUCAUGCAUAUUACCAUAUCAUUUCAUACCAUACUCAAUUUUCACAUGCUAUCAUAUUUGAUUUGUUUAAAAAAUAUCUUGAUUCACAUCACUUGCUAUAUAUAAUAUUUUUUCACAUAUCAAUCCACAUUUCAUUCAAACAAUGGCAUUAUCCUUUCCAUAUUCGAUUCAUGAGUACAUAACUCAUAUAUUCCAUUUGUUCACAACAUAUUUCACAUUUCAUUUUCAAUCCACUAUAAUUUUCAAUUUCUCAUACCAUGCCAUUUUAAUAUCAAUUAUAGAACUUUAUUAUUUAUUUACCCCUAUUAACACGACUCAGACUCAGACGGAUACAUAGAUCCAACCAACACACUAGUUUGGCACCCAGUGCCUCAUCGGAUUAAUUCGAAGUAAUAACUACGCUCAGCACUAUAUAAAUUGACACCCAGUGUGUCAUCGGUUAAACCAAAGUAAACUGGCACCUAGUGCCUCAUCGACUCGAAGUCGAAAAAAUCCCUGAACUCUUCUUAUCUUAUGGCAUGCCAUCUAUAUCCGACUCAACCCGAUACAGUUAAUAGGGUUUCAUUUCACUUUUAAAAUUCUCAUAUUUGCACAUUAUCAUAUUUACACAUAUAUUCAUUUCAAUUGAAAUAAUCAAUACAUUCAUAAUGUAUAUACCAAUUCAAUCCAUUUAAAUCAACUAUAAUUUCAAUUCACUAUCAAAGUGUCAAAAUACUCACCUCAACCACUUACCAUAUACAUUAAAUCAAAAUACACCAAUUAACAACUAGGUUCGAAUUAUAGAAAUACAAACUGUGGAUUUCGAGCGAUUCGACGUUGAUUUUAUCCUUCCCCUUUUUAGUCGAGUAUUCUGGUACGACGUUAGCUACGAAAUUAAAACAAUUAAAAUACAUUAAUACUACACAAUUCAAUUCCACAUUGAAUAUUUUAAUUUUUACUCAAUGUUUGCUUAAAUUCCAAUUUAGUCCCUAAAUCGAGACUAAUUUUUAUUCUUCACAUUUAAUCCCAUAUUUUUAUACUAAUUUCACUUUAAGCUAUAUUUAGCUCCCUAUCUUCAAUUAAACCGUUAAAUUUCAAAAUUUUCACAAUUUAUUCCUUGUUACUCAAAAUUUACAAUUUGUUCUACAAUUUAAUCCUUUUUCAUUUCUAGCUUGAAAAUCUAUCAAUUAAAUCACUAAUACUAAAAUUAUUCAACAAUAACAAUAUUUAAAAUCUUAAUCAAUGUUAAAAUUUCAACAUGGGUCGAAUAGCUCUAAACACCGGAUUCCAAAAAUAUAAAAAUUACAAGAAAAUGGACUAAAUUAACUAACAAAUUUUGAAUUUGAACCUUAAAGUCCCUAGGUUUGUCGUCAGUCACCCUUCUUUCUUUCUUUCUUUCUUUCUUUCUUUCUUUUUCUUUCUUCUUUUUAUUUUACAUGCCACCACUUUCUAUUUAUGUUUUUAUUAUAAUAACCAUUAUUAUUUUAUAAAUUAUACAUAAUUUAAAUGUAUUUAAACUAUUAUUAUAACAUAUAACAUAUAUAUAAUUUAAACUUUCAUUAAUGAUCGUCCACUAACAUAAAAUAAUGUAUAUUUGCUACUUUAGUCCUUUUAGUUAAUUUAAUCUAUAAUUCAACUUUAACCUUUAUGCAAUUUAGUCUUUAUACUAUAAUAACUCUUAAUUCAUAAAAAUUCAAUUAACCAAAAUCUAAUUAACGACACAACUAACUUCGUAAAUAUUUUUAAAUAUUUACGAGAAUAGAGUCCUGGGAAUGCACUCUCUGACACCCCUGACUAUAGGGUCAUUACAAGUAGGACCUGCAAGGGGAACAGUGGGGUCAACAACGUUCUCAACUAAGUCCCUACCUGAAGACUCACCCAUGAACCCCGGAGUUGAAGUAAGCCAACGGCGAGGAGGAAUAUUGCAAACAGUAUAGAAAAAAUCUGUGGGCUCCCUCUAUUUUCCCACAAGAGCCCAAGCUAACUCAUCAUCGGUCCCAAAUGGCCACGCCUCUUCGAAAGUUCGUACCAUUCUAGGAUUUACUCCGAGAUGACGGUCGAAACUCGCCAACCAUUUAGGCUUCUACCCUCUAAGCAAUAGAGAAAGAUAGUUCUAACAGUAAUGAGCUUUCUUAACUCUAAAGUCCACCUUGGACUCAAUCUUUCAAUUACGCUACAAGGAUGUUUGUGUCUAAGAGCUGAGAUUGGCGGUAAGUAGAUUCGAAAGGAAUAGACCACUUCGUGGGAAAAUUGAAAUCGUUGGGAAGCCUAUUUUCACCAAAAUAAAUUUAUUGCGAUCCAAAUGAAGGUUUGGAGCCCACCCUUUAAGUAUGGGUUCAUGACCUUGACGAACACUGAAGUAGACCAUUCUAGAUAAAGGGCCCUAAGCCAAAACUUUCAACCAGCAAAAGCGUUGAAAGACGCCUAGCAAGCGUGGCUCAUCCUGACUAUUGUAGUACAAGAAAUAUGCCAUCAAGGUCCACCAAGAUAAUCAGUCAAUUGCCCUGGUGCAAUUCCAUACUCUUUAAGUACUACAUAGAAUAAAUAGUGUAUAGGAAUACGGAAGCCAGCUUCCAACAAGUAAAGAGGUAGAAUAAAGCCCUCAUUGAAAUUACUAAGACGUCUCUCCCUUGUUACAAUCUCAAAUUUAUACGCAAAUUUAGGCAACCAGAUACCUCAAGCUACCAAGUAAUUUUCCAUCUUCUCUAGAAUGGUUAGGCAAAUGUACAAUGGUGUUCUUACUGAGGUACUAGUCUCACAGGACUGCGGAACAUCUUCGUUCUUGAUGAUAGCCCUCAUCGGGUGACCCAUUUAACUACGAAGACCAGAACCCCUAGCCCUUCCUUCCGAUGUUGGUGUAACCCCAAACAAAUGAUACAAUGUAAGAUAAAAGAAAAAAGAAAAGUGAAAAGAUUAUUUGGAAAAUAAGGAGUGCUCAUGGAAGACGAGUAAUUCCAGUAAAGAAAAUAAGAAUGGUGAAAGGUAAGAAUGAAAAAGUUGAAGAAAGAAGAUUUAGGGUUUAAAAAAGAACUCAAACGAUAAAGAAAUUUAGGGAAGAAAAUUGAUUACUGAUGACAGGAAUUCUUCAAGUCUUAUUUUAAAUAACUAAUAGUGUAAAGUGAUAUUUGAAUGAGAAAAGAAAUAAACUAUUUAAAUCCCUGAAUCUAUUUUUGACGCCUAUUGAUCUAGGGAAGGAUUUUUGUCCACCUCUUAAUAAAAGGAAAAGUAAAAAGAUUUUCCUGAGUGAAUCAACAUUAAGGAUCCGCUAGAAUUAGUGAACACUCAUAUAGACUCAGUUAAAUAAAUUUUAGCGUGAAAACGAUUUUACGCAAGGUGUAAGCUAGAGACUCCGUCAGGAAGGUAGAUAUUCAUUGUGCAUGUAAAAUGCAGAUCUGCCAUUCAAGUGGGGUGGUUAAAGAAAACUAGGAAACUAAGAAGUCAAACUAAACCACCCAAAAAAGUAGGGGUGUAUAACUCUGAACUAGAAGGAGAGUUAUCCUAUAAAUAGUAAAAUUUCCUUGAAGUUUCUAUGGAUUAGUCACGAAAAGAAAUUUCGAGGACAAAAUUUUCUUUAAAGGUGAGGGAGUUGUCACACCCGAAUAUCCUAAAGACCCAAACUCAAAGAAGAGUUGGGGAGUCAAUUGUAUAUAAAUAGAAAUUUUUAGGCUUUAAUGAGAUAUUUAGAAACUUAAGUGGCUAGUUGGAAAUGAUUAGAUUUCAAUCUUUGUUUAGUUAGAUUGGAACUAACUAAUUCUAUAAUGGGAGACAAAAUUAUUAGGAUUGAGUGGUGGUAUUGGUUUGUAGAGACCAUGCCAAUAGAGUAUAUAUGUAAGUGUGUGUAGGAAAUAGAAUUCUUCUCAAUUAUGUUUACCAUUUCUUUUCUCUAAAGCAUCGUCUUCUUAAGUUUCUUUGAAAAAGAAUAUGUAGCUGAAGGAAGCUCUGUAUGUUACAAUCGUCGUGUGAUUUAGAGUCUAGAAAUAAAGAAUUUGGGGAACUAAUAAGUUUCUUUAUCCCACUAAACUUGUGGAUUAAAGGAAUGAGUAGAGUAAGGAUUCUCAAAGCUUUUUUAUAAUUAUGGAUUCCUAGUUUUAAGGUUUGAAUACCUUCGAGCUAACCAAUAAGUGGUUGUUAUGGUUAGUUGUCAAGACAAAUGAGGCUUUGGCAUUUGGACAAGCUAAGUUGUCAAGAAUAAGGAAGCGAUGUGAGUUUUUUUACCUUGCCUUCUAGAUGAUAGAUGAUGUUAUGUGACUUUCAUGUAUCACGUUGAUGGUUACUAAGGUUGCCUAAGUUAUGGUGUGUAUGUGCUUGAAGAAAGAGUAGGUUGUGUGUGUCCAACAAUGUGUAAGCUCUUGCCAAUUGACUGCUGGUUGUUUUAUGGUAGAUAGUUGAUGAUAGGUAAACAGGCGUGAUGUAUGUUCAAUGAUAAAUUUUAUGAUAUGCUUAAGUAAUGUAUGCGUAGUACGGAGGGAAAUUAUCUACAGGUUAGAUGAAGUUAGAAUUGAGAAAAAGUGAACCUAUAUACCACCAUACAGUGUUGCUAAAUGCAAACCGUGAUAUGCGAAGCUCCGGGCCUUGUCGAAGGGACACUACGGUGUUCGAUCAUCAAAGUAGAAAUGACGAAUAGGAGGUAUGGCGAAUGAAUAGGAAAAUGGAAUCCUUUUAAGAUACUGUCAUAUGAGGUUUUUGAGUGCAAACCAUUAUAUGCAAAGCUUCAAGCCUCGCGAAGGGAACACUUCUGUGUUCGAGCAUCAAGGUUAAAUAAGAAUUGGUAUGAUAUUAAUUGGUCUUUCGAGGUGACACCGUGACUACUGUAAUUAGGUUUCAUAGAGCAACAUCGUGACAAUGGUCAGUAGGCUUUAUGGGGCGACACCGCGAUGGUGAUAAGGUUUUUCAGGACAGCACCUCAAAAAGGUAUAAGUUGUAAGACCAUAGCUUGACUAUGACAAUCAAUAGAGUCUACCGUUAAAAGCAAGGCAGUCCGCUGGGAUAGUAAACACGAGGUAGUCCAUUAGGAUAUUAAACAUAAUGUAUAUUGCGUAAAACCAUAGCUUAACUAUGGUAGCAUAGAGAGUCCACCGAGAUAGUAAACACAGGGAAGUCCACCAAGACAUUAAACAUGGGGUUGUAAGGUGUAAGACCAUAGUUCGAGUUUGACAACCAAUAGAGUCCACCAGAACAUUUAACAUGGGUUCAGACUAGUUAAGAUCGUAGCUUGGCUGUGGCAUCAGGUGAAGUCCGACAAAAAGGUUAGGCUAAAAAGAUGGCGGUAUAAUAAAAGAGAGAGAUCAAACUAUAACCUACUUGGAGAGUAACACGAAAGGAUGAGUAUGACUUGUCCGAGAACAUGGAUAAAUGGGAUAGUCCAAGGAUCCGCCAGAUUAAGAAUAUGAGUCUCCAUGUUUGGGCAAGUAAACCCGAGUCGUGGUGAAAAUAAGAUGAUUAAGUGUAACAUAAAAAUAAGAAGCCACCGGUAUCUAGCGUCUAGUAAGUUUGUCGAAGUCUACACAGAGACAAUGGUUGCCCAAAUAGUCAUAUGGUAGAGGACGGCAAAACAUUCACCAAUUGAUGGGUGAGCUAACUAGGGUUAUGUAAUGCAAAAUAAACCAUAUGGAAGUCUGCCAAGGACUACUUGUGCAGAAUCCCGCCGAAAGGCAACAAAGAGUAUAGAUCAAUAGGGAUUUAUCUAUUGUCAUUAGCCAUUUGAUGACUAGGAACAGGACAAACAAUUAGCCAGGAUUAGAUGGUAUAGUGCAAAGCUAUCCUGGUAGUAAGGCAUCCCUUUAUAUCGCUUAUUCACAUGGUCAGAAUCAUGAACACAAAAUGAGUUAAGGUAAAAAUGGAAAUUUUGGAAUGAGGCAGAAUUAGGCCUGCACUAUGGAGGACCAAUUCUGUAAAGAACAUGUUUACGACUCAAAUAAAGAGUAAGUUUGCUAUCGGUAAGCUGCGAAAAGAAGAGAGGGCAUCAACCUCGCCAAUGAAAUCUGCGAAUGACCAAGGAUGAACAGGGAGUUGAUAUCUCUACUUAAAACUUCGUUCCUUAAAGUUAUGAAUUUUGUUAUAGGGUCGUUAUGCAGAAACUCACUAAAUUUUAUUGAACUUACAAAUUGUUUGCUUAUUUGUAGGAUAAAGUUUUCACUCGAGAAUCGAGUGGAGGGCUGAGCCAAACAAUGCCAGGUUGAGGAAGAGGCGUGGAUGUCAUUCAUAUGUAUAGAGAGGCUCCCUUAAAGGCCACACCUUGGGGGU